AGGAUAACACCUGACGCACGACAGGUCCAUGAUACAGCAUUCCACGUACAAGAAUAUUCAUCAAAUACAUGUUUAUAAGAUUACAUCAUUGAUGAAUACAAUCUUCUGGCAUAGCCCUAAGGCUAUUUACAUGGCAGAGGAAGUCUAUAUAAAUGGCGGUGGAAGUCUUGGUUUGGCAGCAUAAUACUCUGGUUGGGCUCCAUAACUCACAGGAUUGGCAAGAUUACGACCUAGCACGAUGGAACAAGCGAAUAAUCUGGGCACGACCUACAAAACUGCAUGACACGCCAGGUUAGUACAUUGAAUGUACUUGCAAGACAACCAAAUACAUAGCAUCCAAACGAACAGAUGACAAAGCAAGAACCAAGCAUAUGCAACAAUCUACUUUAGCACAACUUCUAACAUGGCAUGAUAUUAACUGGAAUCAUAAAUCAAACUAAGCAUGAACAACAUCAUAGCAUCUACUAGCAUGGCAUAUCAAACUUACUUCUAACAUAGCAACAACAAAGCAUAGCAUAUCAAAACAUGGCAUGACAUUAAGAAAUUAUGCUGAAAAUAAACUACCAGUUACCUCCCGUGAAGACAUAUAGCAUUAACCUCAUGCAACAAUCACUUACUCUACCACGGCUCCUCGGAGCAAACUUAUGACUUACAGAGACCUCGUCUUGUGCUCAUAUCAACACAUCAUCGUGACUUCUCAUGAUUAUCUCAUAGUUUCCAGUCACCACAUUAUUUAUCACAUCUUAGUUAUCACCUUAGUUAUUAACAGGUUUAUCCUCCAUUUCGACCAAGACCUGAUAGUGUGACCUACUAUGAUCUAUGCCCAUGACCGAGGACGUGGCUAUCGAUAGAUUUAACACACACUCUGCAAAGGUUAGCACACUGUACCCACACCAUGGAACCCAAGGCCUCGUACUCCCAUUCGGGUGGACCAACAGUGUUCUGACAAAACCGAUCUACUGCCAUGGCACUCUCCCGGCUACUCCGACCAACUCCCUCUCAGGGCUAAGUCAUGGGUGGCCCCAUGCCUACCAAAGGCAUCUUCGGCCACCGUCCUGGCAAAAAUGGUCACAAAGGAGGACAUGUGCAUGUUGGGGAUCGUUGCAGAAAUUAAUUUUUUUUCUACGCAUCACCAAGAUCAAUCUAUGGAGUAACUAGCAACGAGAGAUAGGGGAGUGCAUCUUCAUACCCUUGAAGAUCGCGAGUCGGAAGCGUUACAAGAACGCGAAUGAAGGAGUCGUACUCGAAGCGAUUCAGAUCGCGGUGGAUUCCGAUCUUAGCGUCGAACAACGGCACCUCCGCGUUCAACACACGUGCAGCCCGGUGACGUCUCCCACGUCUUGAUCCAGCAAGGAGGAAGGGAGAGGUUGAGGAAGAGGGCUCCAACAGCAGCACGACGGUGUGGUGGUGAUGGAGUGGCAGUACUCCGGCAGGGCUUCGCCAAGCUCUUACGGAGGAGGAGAGGUGUUGGGGAGGGGAGGGGCUGCGCCUUGGAUGUGUUGCUGCAGCCCUCCCCUCGCCCCUCUAUUUAUAUGAUAAGGGGGAAGGGGGGCCAGCCCCCUCUAUAUGAGAUCUAUAGGGGGCGGCAGGGGGAGGGGGCUUGCCCCCCAAGCAAGGGGGGCGCCCCCUUUAGGGUUUCCCCCCCAACCCUAGGUGCAUGGGCCCAAAGGGGGGGGGGGUGGCGCCCAGCCCUCCAAGGGCUGGUUCCCUUCCCUCUACAUCGCAUGAGGCCCUCCGGGAGAGGUGGCCCCUCCCGGUGGCCCCCCGGAACCCUUCCGGUGGCCCCGGUACAAUACUGGUAUGCCCCCGUACAUUUCUGGUAACCGUAUGACAACUUCCCAUAUAUAAAUCUUCACCUCCAGACCAUUCUGGAAAUCCUCGUGACGUCCGGGAUCUCAUCCGGGACUCCUAACAGCAUUCUAUAAUCACAUACAAGUCUUCAUAAUAACCCUAGCGUCAUCGAACCUUAAGUGUGUAGACCCUACGGGUUCGGGAAUCACGCAGACAUGACCGAGAUAGCUCUCCGGUCAAUAACCGACAGCGGGAUCUGGAUACCCAUGUUGGCUCCCAAUGUUACAUGAUGAUCUCAUCGGAUGAACCACGAUGUCGAGGAUUCAAGUAAUCCCGUAUGCAAUUCCCUUUGUCAAUCGGUAUGCUACUCGCCCGAGAUUCGAUCGUCGGUAUCCCAAUACCUCCUUCAGUCUCAUUACCGGCGAGUCACUUUACUCGUUACAUAAUGCAUGAUCCCAUGACUAACCACUUAGUCACAUUCAGCUCAUUAUGAUGAUGCAUUACCGAGUGGGCCCAGAGAUACCUCUCCGUCAUACAGAGUGACAAAUUCCAGUCUCGAUUCGUGCCAACCCAACAGACAGUUUUGAAGAUACCUAUAGUGCACCUUUAUAAUCACCCAGUUACGUUGUGACGUUUGGUUCACCCAAAGCACUCCUACGAUAUCUGGGAGUUACACAAUCUCAUGGUCUAAGGAACUUAUACUUGACAUUAGAAAAGCUUUAGCAAAUGAACUACACGAUCUUGUGCUGUGCUUAGGAUUGGGUCUUGUCCAUCACAUCAUUCUCCUAAUGAUGUGAUCUAGUUAUCAAUGACAUCCAAUGUCCAUAGUCAGGAAACCAUGACCAUAUGUUGAUCAACGAGCUAGUUAACUAGAGGCUUACUAGGGACAUGUUGUGGUCUAUGUAUUCACACAUGUAUCACGGUUUCCGGUUAAUACAAUUAUAGCAUGAACAAUAGACAAUUAUCAUGAACAAGGAAAUAUAAUAAUAAUCAUUUUAUUAUUGCCUCUAGGGCAUAUUUCCAACAGUGCACAUAACCAAACUCGGGCUCACAAGGCUUAUGUCCGCCUACCUGAUCAGCGUAGCGGGCGCCCAUAACCUUCCCUAGUUGGAGGCACCAGCGAGAGGCAUGACAAUAGACCCAGCUAGGGCCUCCCAUAAGGAAAAUGUGGCUGCAUUGGAGAAAGCUCGAUUUGGAGGCACUAUGACUCGAUCCCAUCAAUGACAGAGGAGGUUUAUUAUUAAGUCAUGUUAUUAACUUCUCCACCAUCAUCAAUAUAAUGAGCAUAUUUAACAAUGAUGCAACACUGAGCAUGCAACAUAUAAAUGCAUUAACAUAUCAAGCUAGAAUAGUUGUAGCAUAUCGGACAAAUAUCGGGUACUAGCUUAUCGACAGUGUAACAAAUCAUCAUAGCAUCAAUACUACUGGCAUGAAACUAACCACACCACAAGUAUGAUAUUGUCAAAAACAAUAUGACUAGCAUGGCAAAAGCUAUCAUGAAAGGCAUGGCGUGGCAAGUAAUACUAACAUAUAGCACAACUAAAAUAACUGCAGAAGAAACAGACAAAAAAUACUGCAACUAAGCACACACACGAGGUACCAGCAAAGUUAACAUGCAAUUUCAGGGCUCAUGAUAAGAGGUUAGCUUGCCUAGGGAUCGAGAAAUACUCCGGAAAUGAGUUUGGUCACUCUCGAAAUUUUUUGCCGGAGAGGGGUUCGCUCUCCGAGGGGCAAUGGCAAAGUGGGCAUUUUCAGAACGUGACAACAUAGUGAAAAAUAGUCCCAUCAUAAAGGGCUCGACGAACAAAGAACAUGAGCGUUGGAAUCACCUCAAUCGGAGUUACGGUUGCAAAGUUGUGGUCGUUCACUUUUUAGGCAGAAAUGUGACUUAAACAGUGAACGUUCACAAUUUAACCUUUUCGGCGGGCUGGGCUGAAAACAGAAAGCGCACUUUGAGAAAAUAUGUUUCCAGAGAACAGAAAGUGUACUUUCAGGUAAUACGUUUUCAGGUAAAGAAAGCGCACUACUGAGAAUAUGUCUCCGAAGAAACGAAAGCGCACUUUGUAGUUUGCGUCUCUACUUACGCUGACUGGGCGGCUUCGGUCUAUGGCAAGUGGGGUCACGCGGCGGUGGGGCCGGCUCACUUAUCCACGCUAGCAAGACCAGGUCAACGCCCCUGGGUCGCUGCCAGGUGGGGUCCAUGGCGACUUCUCUCUCCUCCUGCCUGGUCUUCUUCUUGCUCCCGACCGGAGGCACAGGAGGCCGCGGCUACCGGCGCAGCCGACGACUGGCGGCACGGGAUGGCUCGGUGGCGCGCGCAGGAGGUCCGCCACUCCACGCCGCACCCGUGGGUGGUCUCGAAAGGGCUUGGGAUGGUCUGCAGCGUCAGGACCAUGGAGGACGGCGGCGGCCGAGCGCUGCGAGAGGAGGGACUGCGCCGGCGGGGCUCCUCCGCCAGAGUUGAGGGCUGCGGUGGUCUUCAGGUUCCAAGGGGAAGGCUAGGGAGUAGCAAAACAAGCGGGGAAGGGGGCCAUGGCAAGAAUGGCCGAGGGGAUCGGCGGCGGCCAUUCGGCCAUGGGGGCGAAAUAGAGGAGCUCCAAGGCGAGGGCGAAAGCUACGGGUGGCUCAGGGAUGAGUGGAGAGCUGCGGGUGGCUACUUAUAGCCGCGGGGGAAGGCUCGAGAAGGAGGGCGACAUGGCACUCGGCUGGCGACGUGUCACGCUCUAGUGAUGGGCUCGUGCGACCAAGUCUCACGGAAAGCUGCAGGAAGACGACGAGGGGGACGCGGACAAGCACAAGGGGGUCACGGAGUCGAGCUACGCUCGGGGAUGAAAGGAAGAAGAGGACAGGUGCGAGGAAGACGACGGUGCUCACGAACACGCACUGUUCGAUCGUUGGCAUGGCUCGUCGGAGAAGAAAACAAAGGUGGAAAGGGGUCCAAGCGCACGGCGACGAUGAGGCUGAGCCGUUUGACAAGCUGGGACGAGCUAGGGCUGAUUGGAGUAGCUCUUAUGUGGCCAACAGUUUGCAGACCACCGAUUUGGUCAGCAUCACUUAUGAUCACCAAGGGCACUUCACGCUCCGGCCACCUACUUAGUGCAAAACCUUGUUAGUAGAGGAGUCCUUCCAAUGCUCAAUAAAAUUGAGGUGAUGGCACGAGCAGAAGUGUACGGAGCAGAGGGAAACAUGCUCGACAAGUUUGUUGUUGCAAACUUGGCCACAUCUUGGUGAUCAACACAAUGAUCUUAAGGACUAAACUUGAUGUUUGGGAGGUUGAGGCUUGCAAGGACUACGGUCCUGGGAAGUUGGAAGGGAUUUGGGCAAGUAUUUAACAUAGCUACAGUACAACUGUCAAAUAUGGCCCAGAAAACAAAUGAGGAAGGAGCACUCACUAGGAGUGUUAGAUUGGGCUACCACUUGGCAAUUCUCCAUGAUUUGGUCAUAUGUAGAUGCUGCAAAAAGAUCAUACCUAAUGGACUUGCCAAAUUGGUACUUGUUUCACAAGCAGCACUUCUGACCAGAAACUUGGGAAAAUUGUAGGAAAAUAUUGGCCAAACUCUUGGGUAGGUGGGUUAUAUGGAUAUGAGAAGGCUUGCGAAUAUUUGCAGCUAUAAUGGAGCAUGAUAAAAUAUACUUGCUUCACAAAAUAAAAAUUUGGAUAGAGAACAAGAAUUACUCCUGUGCUCACAUAGAUAAAUUAAAUGAGCUGAAUUUGGGUGGAGGCCAAUGGUUUGGGAUACUUGAGAGGAUGGAAAAGUUUCAUCCCAUUUGAAAACUCUAUGAAGGUACUUCCUUCACAAAGUUGCAUUCUGGUCACAAACUUUGAAAAUUUGCACAGGGAGCUAGGAUGAAUGGAUUGAGCUCAUCUUUGGUAUCCAUGGGUGAUUUAUCAAGGUCAAUCACCCUGCCAAAUUUCAGCUCAAUAGGUAUCAGGAAUAAAGCACUUCCUUUGCAAAAUUUCAAAGAAGGCAGAAACUUGCAUUGGAUCAUGUGCCCAAUUUUUGAUCCGUGGAACAUGAGAAAAGGAUGGAACUAGUGAUUAUAUAGCAAGGACAACCUCCACAAUUUAUGUGGGAAUUUUCUUUCUAUAAAAAUAGUAGUUCCUUUAGAAAAUGGUAGAAAUGCAAUAUUGGCAUAAAAUAAGAAAAUGCAAUUUCCUUUUUAAUUAUGGCCAAUAUCUUUGGUAGAGCUUGGAUUAGGCAUAAUUAUCAACUCCAUCAAUCCUCAUGAAUUUAGGAGAUGACUAGAUAUGCCUUUGGAUUUUAUACCUCAGAAAUGCAGGAAAAGGAAUAAAUCAUAAUUCAAAAAUAUUACAUGGUAUUUAGCAAUAUUUUUGCAUAUCCAAGGUUUGGAAGGAUAGGAGAGUCUCUGGGAACAUAUGGGAUGAUCAACAGAUCAAGGAAAAUGAUAGCGCCUUUGUAAUCACAAAGGCCAUAUUCAAAUUCCAAAAUUGGAAUUAGGGUUUGAGAGGGUUUGAGCUGAUGCAAAUGAGGUCUUGCCCACUGACAAAGACAUGAGCAAGGUUCUGAAAGGUUGGAAAUGGCAAGAAGCCUCAGAGUCAUCCAACAAAACUCAGGGGAAGGAUUUUGAAAAUGAGUGCCAGGAAGGAAUAACAGCACAUAAAUUGAUAACCCAAUUUUGGGGCUGUAACAACAAGAAUCUCGUCCUCGAGAUUCCUAGGGUUACAACACGAAAGGAAAGAAUAACCACUCCGGGGAAAAACCUCUGGGUUAAUUUUAACUCUUUGGUCAAAUUUGAACGAGUUGGGGGCACCGAUAAUUGGUACACCCAGGAAGAGAUAUGGGCAAACACGGCUAUAUCCACGGCUAGGGGCAAUCGAGAUCAAACUCUCGAAAAAUUGCUAGAUGCACCCCAGUGAACAGUGGUUUCACCUACUGACAUGUGGGUCCAGGGCCCACUGGCAGCCUCCUUCUUCUACCUCCGGCUAGCUGCUUCUCCUUCGAUGCUGCUCUGCGUGCGGCUUGGCACAACGCGCAUCUAGCUCCUAGGGCAAUGAGGACCCUAGUGCCGCAGUGCGCAACAGGCACGGCGUCGGUGCAGCAAGUACCCACGUCACGGGCCAGCACCUUGUCGGCAUGACUCACGGAUUAUCCUCCUGGACGUCGGUAAUCAUGUAACGCCCCGGAUUCGAUGCGCUAGGUGUCAUUCAGUUAUUCGCCGUCGUUGCCAUGUCAGCUGCUUGCAUGUUGCAUUUUGCCAUGUCAUCAUCUGCAUUUCAUCUGCAUGUUUUUCAAAACUUGCAUCCGUUCGGGUUCCGCCGGUUCUCUCCGUUGUCCGUUCCGAGUCCGGACACACUCGCACGCGCCCGCGGCACCUCCGAAAUAUUAUUUUAUAAGUGGCAUAAAAAUGUUCUCGGAAUGGGAUGCAACUUGGCGUGCGGUCUUAUUAUAGUGUAGACAGGCGCCUGUCAAGUUUCGUCGCAUUCGGAGCUCGUUUGAUAGCCCAACCGUUAAAUAUAUAGCGGUACCGUUGCCGGUAUCUUCGUCGGAAGUUUCGGUAUUCGAAACUGCCGCCGGGCCUCUCUCUCGCUUCUCUCCCUAAGCCCAACGCCUUGUCUUCACAGCCCGCCUGCAGCCCAGCUACCCCCCCUCGGUUCCGGACCGUCAGAUCGCGAUCUAAGGGCUCCGAAACCCCCCUCAAACCACCUAAACCUAAUCCUUGCCUAUUUAAACACCACCCAUAUGCCAUUUUUGGCCUCCACCUACCUCCUCCCUCAAUUUCAGCCACAGCCAACCAUCUCCACCUNNNNNNNNNNNNNNNNNNNNNNNNNNNNNNNNNNNNNNNNNNNNNNNNNNNNNNNNNNNNNNNNNNNNNNNNNNNNNNNNNNNNNNNNNNNNNNNNNNNNNNNNNNNNNNNNNNNNNNNNNNNNNNNNNNNNNNNNNNNNNNNNNNNNNNNNNNNNNNNNNNNNNNNNNNNNNNNNNNNNNNNNNNNNNNNNNNNNNNNNNNNNNNNNNNNNNNNNNNNNNNNNNNNNNNNNNNNNNNNNNNNNNNNNNNNNNNNNNNNNNNNNNNNNNNNNNNNNNNNNNNNNNNNNNNNNNNNNNNNNNNNNNNNNNNNNNNNNNNNNNNNNNNNNNNNNNNNNNNNNNNNNNNNNNNNNNNNNNNNNCCGGCGCGCCUCCGCCACUCCCCGCCAGGUCGCCGCCCGUCGCCCCUCUUCCUCUCCUUUUCUCUCCCUCACCCUCUCUGCCCCGCAGGGUACCGCCGCCGCCGCCAUGUAUGGCUGCCCCGCCCGCGAAGCUCCGCCGCCCCGGUGCCCCGUCGGCCUCGGGAACCAGAAAAUCCGGCGCCCCGCGCCCAGAUCCGCCAGUCCCCGUCGCUAGCGCCCCUCCUCCGUGCCCCAUCGCCGAGUCCCGCCGCCCCCCAUCGCCGUUCGCCGCCGGCGCCGUCGUGCUCCGCCUCGGGCAGGAGUUGCGACCGCAUGGGCCAGCGGCCCCUCAGGGGUGCCUCCGCGGCCCACCAGCGCGGCCCACGCCCGGCCUCGCCCUGGCCCACCUCCCCGCAACCUGGGCCGAGCCCACUAGGUGAGCAGGACACCUAUCCCGCGCCCGUGCGACUUAUAACUAUUUUACGCUCGAUCUGUUUUUUUUCCAGAAACUGCUAAGUCCCCAGAAACUCAUAAAAUGUUGCAUACUUUGACCUGCUGCAUCUCUGCAUCCGUAGCUCCGUUUUGUGCAUGCAAUAUGUCAAAUUGUUCGCCUCGACGAGUACAUCAUUUCGUUCCAUUGCAUCAUAUUCAUUUGAGGUCAUCUUGAUGCCUGAAUCAUCGUUGUAAGAGUGCUUCAUUAUGUUUUCUGCUGUCUGUUAACAGAACGAGCUCUUUUGUCAUUUUUGCUAUGAUUGAUGUGUGCAUCCUAUGAGGUUGAUGUCUACAUGUGUUUUGAACUAUGCUAUGUCUUAUUUACAGAGGUGCUUACCAUGUCUUUUUGUGAUCAAUUUGGUGACUAGCACAAGCAUGUAAACUAGGCUUCGUGAUGUUGCUGAUUUUAGUCCCUGUUCUGCUGUUAUUUUGAUGCCAUGUAAACUUGAUGCUACAGAGAGAUCCAUGCAUAUUUUGAGAUACUUCAGUAAGGGUGUUUUGAACAUAUGGUUAUUUUCUAUCCAUUCAUGCCCUUGGUUGAAAUUAUGGAGUAGUCUAGCAUGUCCUUUUCGUGCUCUACUUUUGCUUCAAAAUGUUUACUGGCAGAUUGUUUACUUGUUAUUCAAUUUGGCCAAGCUUGCUAUAGUUGAUCCUUGCAUGCUAUGGACUUGUUCUCGACUUGGGUUGUUUCACAAACAUGUCUUCUUGAUGAUGCUAUGCUUAUCUUGUCAUGCAAUGACUUGUGGUGAGUGUAUAGAGCUUGUUAAGUAGUGUUCAUGAUGUUGCUAUUUUGCUAGGCUGAAUCUGUUAUUUCGCGAUGCUAUGUAAACAUGUUGCUACUAAUCAUUUUAUGCAUAAUCUGGAGAUGUUCUAUAAACAUGUUUCGAUCUACAUGUCAUCCUAUAUCCAUCCAUGCCCCUGGUUGCAUUUAUAGGUUACUGUAGCUUGUUUUUAUCUUGCUUCAAAGUUGCUUCAUAAUGUUGUUGUCAGCCCGUUAAUAUUAAGUUUAGUUGUUUACAUUUUUUUUCUAGUGAUCCAUGCAUCCUAUGACCUUGCUAUUGCCAUUCUUAGCUUCACAAAUAUGUCUUCUUACUGUUGGGUGCCUUGCCAUGCCAUGUAUUGCUCUGUAGUGAGUUGCACAAGUUCUUCUAUAUGCCUUCAUAAUUAUGUUUCUGCCAUGUAUGAAUCUGUAUAAUAACUUGCUAUGUUUACGUGGGUGCCAUCAUAUUUUCCGAUCCUUUUUGGCUUAUGGUCAGUAAGGAUCUUUUGAUCUAUGCAUUUAGUAUAUUCAUGCCAUGCCUUUGUUUGCCAUGAUAAGUUCCUGUAACAUGUUGUUUGAUAGCUCUAAACAUUGCAUCGUGAUGUUAUUUUCUGCAAAGUCUGAAAUUGUUAUAACUUGCAAUCUUACCAUGUGUGUUUGAGUAUGUUCUAGUGAUUUCUGGAGAUAGCUCAGUGUUCAUAUUUUGUUGUGCUUUACCUUUACAUCAUGCCCAUGCCUUUUGUUAUUAUGUUGGGGUGCUGUAGCUUGUUGUUUUGGUGCUCGCAAUAUGCCUAGUUGCUGUUUUGGACAGCUUGUCCUUUAAACUUGUUUCAUGUGUGUGUGUUGAACCGUUGCUCCGUUUUGAGUGUGCUCUAUAUGAAACUUGCUUGAUUUUGCAUGUAGCUUCAUAUUAUAAUGUUGCAUCCUUGUUUUGAGGUGUUUGCUUGAUGUUUGGGUGUAUUUUGCAUCAAUGCCAUGUUUAACUUGUGUUGCUCAUAUCUUCUAGGCCGUAGCUCCGAACUAAAUGAACUUUAUAUGUAACUUGACUAGAAUCUCAUGUAGAUCAUCUUGGUGCAUCUUAACUUGCUAUUUAACAACUUAAACAUAAGGUUUGUUCAGAUCUGGACCAAUUUCGAAAUAUGCAUAUGAGGACUUACUGGAAUUGUUAUAUGUUGUUCACGGCCUCAUUUAAAGUUGCCUUGAUGUGUUGUUCUUGUUUGCAUCAUAUCUUGCCAUGAGUAGCUUCAUGUAGCUUUGUCAUGCAAUAUGCUCGUGUGUGCAUCAUGUCUUGUUCAUGUGUGGUGUGUUUACCAUGUUGUGUGCUUCUUCUUGUUAUUUCCUGUUUCGUUGCGAUCGUGAGGAUCCGUUCGUCUACGCUUGGUUCGGCUUCAUGCGUUCGUCUUCUUCAUGGACUCGUUCUUCUUCCUUGUGGCAUUUCAGGCAAGAUGACCGCUACCCUGGAUCUCACUACUAUCAUUGCUAUGCUAGUUGCUUCGUUCUAUCGCUUUGCUGCGCUACCUAUUACCUGUUUAUCAAGCCAUCCCAUAUUUCCAUGAACCUCUAACCUUUGACACCUUUUCUAUGCAAACCGUUGUUUGGCUAUGUUACCGCUUUUGCUCAGCCCCUCUUAUAGCGUUACUAGUUGCAGGUGAAGUGAAGAUUUCUCCAUGGUGGACAGGAUUUUGAUUGGGAUAUCACAAUAUCUCUUAUAUUAUUAAUGCAUCUAUAUACUUGGUAAAGGGUGGAAGACUCGGCCUUUUGCCUAGUGUUUUGUUCCACUCUUGCUGCCCUAGUUUCCAUCAUACCGGUGUUAUGUUCCCGGAUUUUGCGUUCCUUACGCGGUCGGGUGAUUUAUGGGACCCCCUUGACAGUUCGCUUUGAAUAAAACUCCUCCAGCAAGGCCCAACCUUGGUUUUACCAUUUGCCUCACCACCACCUACCCUUUCCCUUGGGUCGGCCAACCCGAGGGUCAUCUUUAUUUUAGUUCCCCCCGGGCCAGUGCUUGUCUAAGUGUUGGUCCGAACUGAGCUGCCUGCGGGGCCACCUCGGGGCAACUUGAGGGUUGGUUUUACUCGUAGCUAGUCUCAUCCGGUGUUGCCCUGAGAAUGAGAUAUGUGCAGCUCCUAUCGGGAUUGUCGGCGCAUCGGGCGGCUUUGCUGGUCUUGUUUUACCAUUGUCGAAAUGUCUUGUAAACCGGGAUUCCGAGUCCGAUCGGGUCUUCCUGGGAGAAGGUCUAUUCCUUCGUUGAUCGCGAGAGCUUGUCAUGGGCUAAGUUGGGACACCCCUGCAGGGUAUAAUCUUUUGAAAGCCGUGCCUGCGGUUAUAGGCAGAUGGGAAUUUGUUAAUGUCCGGUUGUAGAUAACUUGACACCAGAUCCGAAUUAAAACGCAUCAACCGCGUGUGUAGCCGUGAUGGUCUCUUCUCGGCGGAGUCCGGGAAGUGAACACGGUUUCUGUGUUAUGUUUGACGUAAGUAGGAGUUCAGGAUCACUUCUUGAUCAUUACUAGUUGAAGACCGUUCUGUUUGCUCUCUUGUCGCUCUUAUUUGCGUAUGUUAGCCACCAUAUCUGCUUAGUUGCUGCUGCAACCUCACCACUUUACCCCGUCCUUUCCUAUUAAGCUUUGCUAGUCUUGAUACCCAUGGUAAUGGGAUUGCUGAGUCCUCGUGGCUCACAGAUUACUACAACAACAGUUGCAGGUACAGGUUAUGCGAUGAUCAUGACGCGAGAGCGAUGCUUGCUUGCGUUGAGUUCUUCUUCUGCUUCUUCUUUGAUCAGGGGAUAGGUUCCAGGUCGGCAGCCUGGGCUAGCAGGGUGGAUGUCGUUUGAGUUUCUGUUUGUGUUUCAUCCGUAGUCGGAUGAUGCUCUGAUGUAUUGUGAUGUUGUAUUCAUGUGGCAUUGUAUGCCUUAUGUAUGUAUCCCCAUCUAUUAUGUAAUGUUGAUGUAAUGAUAUCCACCUUGCAAAAGCGUUUCAAUAUGCGGGUCUAUCCUUGGUGGGACCUUCGAGUUCCUUUUGGAUAGGGUCGCAUAUUGGGCGUGACAAGUUGGUAUCAGAGCCUCGACCGACCCUAGGAGCCCCCUUGUUUGAUCGUGUAGUUUGGCCGUUGUUGAGUCUAGAAGAAAACUAUUUUCAGAGUCUAGUUAUAUCGGAGAGUAGGAAUUCUUUUUACUCCUCAGCCCCUUCGUCGCUCUGGUAAGGAAUCUUGAUGUAGGUGUUUUGAAUUACUCCUCUUCCCUUUUCAAAUUUUUCCUUAGGAUCACGCAGUUGGUUUUUCGAUCGUUGUUCCUCAGCUCUUUUUAUCUGGUGCAUUUCUCGUCAAGUCGACUUGAGCCUCUUCAUCUUUGAGUUCAAUCCUCAGUUGUUUUCUUUCCCACCCGCCCACCCUUCUUCUUCUCGGAACCGGAGUCCGUAAUCGAGUAUCCAUCCUACUCAUGUGAAGUCUUUGAUUUCUUUCCUCAAUGAUUUCAACCGGUGUUUUUCUCUUCNNNNNNNNNNNNNNNNNNNNNNNNNNNNNNNNNNNNNNNNNNNNNNNNNNNNNNNNNNNNNNNNNNNNNNNNNNNNNNNNNNNNNNNNNNNNNNNNNNNNNNNNNNNNNNNNNNNNNNNNNNNNNNNNNNNNNNNNNNNNNNNNNNNNNNNNNNNNNNNNNNNNNNNNNNNNNNNNNNNNNNNNNNNNNNNNNNNNNNNNNNNNNNNNNNNNNNNNNNNNNNNNNNNNNNNNNNNNNNNNNNNNNNNNNNACCCUUUUCUUCCCGGAGUCUGACUCUCUCUCGACCAUCUGUCUCAUUCGUGUGGAGCCUCUUCAGUCUUUCGUCAAUCAUCUCAACCCGUGAAUUCUCAUCUCGGUGGACAUUCUUCAUCUCUUUUUCUUUUCCAGUUGAUUCAAUUCAAGUUUUCGGGUUGAUCAUAUUCUUUCCUCGGCUCAAAUGUUUCCCCUUGCUCGUUUGCCUCUCGCUAGUUUAUCCUUCCAGAGUAUUCAAGACAUCUCAGGAGAUUCGUCUGUGUUUGAAUUAAUUCGAGGUUGUCACCUCAUUCUAAUAUUUCAAUUGUUCCGGUGCAGCAUAUAUUUGUUCAUCAAUCCUUUUCAACGGUGUUAUCUCUUCAGUGGGCCCUAACCCACAGGUCUUUUCCCAGGAUCUUACCUGACUCUUCUAAUUCCCCCGGAUUAUUCUCAAAUUCUUUUCAAAGUGUGACGUAAGAAUGAAUUUCAUCAGUCACAUGCCUUUUCCAAGAUCGAUUUCAAAUCAUUUCAUUGUUGGCUCAACCUCUUUGCUUUUUCAUUCUCCCGGAGUAUCUCAGUAAUUUCGAUGGUGUUUCUCGUCGUCAUUUGAAGACCGAAGAAGAGUCCUUCCUCUAAAUCUUGUCUCGUCUCCCGAAGAUUUGUGGUUCCAACUUCAUAUUAUCCUCUCGAAUUAUUCCAUUCGUUAGAUAUUCUUUUCUUAACCAUCCGGAGUUUGUCAGGAGCUGUUUUUCCAUUUCUUUCACCGGAGGCCAUCAUUCCAAUUAUCAUUAUCCAAUUAUCCCGGUGCUUCGUUCAAGUGUUCUUUAAUCAACUCAUGAUCUCUUUGUUCUUCUGCUUCUAAAUCCCCUCGAGCAUAUUGGUUCUUCUAAUUCUUCCCGGAGAUUCAUUCUCUUUCACCAGUCAUUUUCGAAUUCUUACGGUGGUUCGUUCAAGAUUAUUUUUCCUUGAUUAUCAUUUUAAUCCAUUCAUUCUUUCCAAUCCUACCGGUGGUUCAUGAAGACUUUCUCAAGUUUUGUGCUAUAUCUCUUCUCAAUCCUUUUUCAAGAAGAAUAAGUAAUAUGCAAAAUCCAUUGGUUGUCCUCAAUUUAACUUGAUGAAGGAUAAGCAUACAAUAAAUCUUAUUCUUAUUUCAUCCAAGUGAGUAAUCUUUUCCUUCAGAGUUUGUUCUUGAUGAAUAAAUUCUAGUUCCAAGUGUUUGCAUCUUUAUUCUUUUCCGGAGUUCAAUUUUUCAUCGACUAUUUCGUCAGAACCUCCAUCUAAAUCAUCGCAAGGCUCAUCUUAUUCUUUCAUCCUUCAUUCUAUCUCAUCAUCCUUUUGUUACCGGAGUUCUUCAUGGUGGUUCUUCAUGAUUUAAUUCAUUCUCUCAAGAGUUCAUCAAGAUUCUUGUUGGUGGAGUUAAAGUAUCUUUUCUUCUCACGUCUUCAAGCGCAAAUAAUUCUUCAUUUUCUUCUGAAGUGGAAUUUUGCAUUUCUUCGUUCUUCUUAGAUAUUCAAAUCCGAUUAAUCCUUCCUUCUAAGCUCUUUUCAUAGUCUAUUUGAUCCCGUGAGCUUUCGAUUCUCGCCAUUCUCGUCAUUCCUCUCUUCUUCUCGAGUGCUCUCGAUUCCUUGUUUCUUCUCUUGAGUUCUUGUUUCACCUCUUCCCUUUUCUCUUCCGUCUCGGUCCUAAGAUCUCGGGACGAGAUCUCUUGUUAGUGGAGGAGUGUUGUAACGCCCCAGAUUCGAUGCGCCAGGUGUCAUUCAGUUAUUCGCCGGCGUUGCCAUGUCAGCUGCUUGCAUGUUGCAUUUUGCCAUGUCAUCAUCUGCAUGUUUUUCAAAACUUGCAUCCGUUCGGGUUCCGCCGGUUCUCUCUGUUGUCCGUUCCGAGUCUGGACACACUCGCACGCGCCCGCGGCACCUCCGAAAUAUUAUUUUAUAAGUGGCAUAAAAAUGUUCUCGAAAUGGGAUGCAACUUGGCGUGCGGUCUUAUUAUAGUGUAGACAGAGCGCUUGUCAAGUUUCGUCGCAUUCAGAGCUUGUUUGAUAGCCCAACCGUUAAAUAUAUAGCGGUACCGUUGCCGGUAUCUUCGUCGGAAGUUUCGGUAUUCGAAACUGCCGCCGGACCUCUCUCUCGCUUCUCUCCCUAAGCCCAACGCCUUGUCUUCACAGCCCGCCUAUAGCCCAGCUACCCCCCCUCGGUUCCGGACCAUCAGAUCGCGAUCUAAGUGCUCCGAAACCCCCCUCAAACCACCUAAACCUAAUCCCUGCCUAUUUAAACACCACCCAUAUGCCAUUUUUGGCCUCCACCUACCUCCUCCCUCAAUUUCAGCCGCAGCCAACCAUCUCCACCUCGAAAUCCGUGCCCAGCCAGCACCCCGCCGCCACUUGGCGCCGCCCCAACGGCCAGCCACCGCCCUGCGCCGCCGCGCNNNNNNNNNNNNNNNNNNNNNNNNNNNNNNNNNNNNNNNNNNNNNNNNNNNNNNNNNNNNNNNNNNNNNNNNNNNNNNNNNNNNNNNNNNNNNNNNNNNNNNNNNNNNNNNNNNNNNNNNNNNNNNNNNNNNNNNNNNNNNNNNNNNNNNNNNNNNNNNNNNNNNNNNNNNNNNNNNNNNNNNNNNNNNNNNNNNNNNNNNNNNNNNNNNNNNNNNNNNNNNNNNNNNNNNNNNNNNNNNNNNNNNNNNNNNNNNNNNNNNNNNNNNNNNNNNNNNNNNNNNNNNNNNNNNNNNNNNNNNNNNNNNNNNNNNNNNNNNNNNNNNNNNNNNNNNNNNNNNNNNNNNNNNNNNNNNNNNNNNNNNNNNNNNNNNNNNNNNNNNNNNNNNNNNNNNNNNNNNNNNNNNNNNNNNNNNCGAGUCCUCGUCGCCACCGCCAGCCUCCACCGCCGCCGGCGCGCCUCCGCCACUCCCCGCCAGGUCGCCGCCCGUCGCCCCUCUUGCUCUCCUUUUUCUCCCUCACCCUCUCUGCCCCGCAGGGUACCGCCGCCGCCGCCAUGUAUGGCUGCCCCGCCCGCGAAGCUCCGCCGCGCCGGUGCCCCGUCGGCCUCGGGAACCGGAAAAUCCGGCGCCCCGCGCCCAGAUCCGCCGGUCCCCGUCGCUAGCGCCCCUCCUCCGUGCCCCAUCGCUGAGUCCCGCCGCCCCCAUCUCCGUUCGCCGCCGGCGCCAUCGUGCUCCGCCUCGGGCAGGAGUUGCGACCGCAUGGGCCAGCGGCCCCUCAAGGCGCCUCCGCGGCCCACCAGCGCGGCCCACGCCCGGCCUCGCCCUGGCCCACCUCCCCGCAACCUGGACAGAGCUCACUAGGUGAGCCGGACACCUAUCCUGCGCCCGUGCGACUUAUAACUAUUUUACGCUCGAUCUGUUUUUUUCUUCAGAAACUGCUAAGUCCCCAGAAACUCAUAAAAUGUUGCAUACUUUGACCUGCUGCAUCUCUGCAUCCGUAGCUCCGUUUUAUGUGUGUAAUAUGUCGAAUUGUUCGCCUCGACGAGUACAUCAUUUCAUUCCAUUGCAUCAUAUUCAUUUGAGGUCAUCUUGAUGCCUGAAUCAUCGUUGUAAGAGUGCUUCAUUAUGUUUUCUGUUGUCUGUUAACAGAACGAGCUCUUUUGUCAUUUUUGCCAUGAUUGAUGUGUGCAUCCUAUGAGGUUGAUGUCUACAUGUGUUUUGAACUAUGCUAUGUCUUCUUUAUAGAGGUGCUUACCAUGUAUUUUUGUGAUCAAUGUGGUGACUAGCACCAGCAUGUAAACUAGGCUUCGUGAUGUUGCUGAUUUUAGUCCCUGUUCUGCUGUUAUUUUGAUGCCAUGUAAACUUGAUGCUACAGAGAGAUCCAUGCAUAUUUUGAGAUACUUUAGUAAGGGUGUUUUGAACAUAUGGUUAUUGUCUAUCCAUUCAUGCCCUUGGUUGCAAUUAUGGAGUAGUCUAGCAUGUCCUUUUCGUGCUCUACUUUUGCUUCAAAAUGUUUACUGGCAGAUUGUUUACUUGUUAUUCAAUUUGGCCAAGCUUGCUAUAGUUGAUCCUUGCAUGCUAUGGACUUGUUCUCGACUUGGGUUGUUUCACAAACAUGUCUUCUUGAUGAUGCUAUACUUAUCUUGUCAUGCAAUGACUUGUGGUGAGUGUAUCGAGGUUGUUAAGUAGUGUUCACGAUGUUGCUGUUUUGCUAGGCUGAAUCUGUUAUUUCGCGAUGCUAUGUAAACAUGUUGCUACUAAUCAUUCUAUGCAUAAUCUGGAGAUGUUCUAUAAACAUGUUUUGAUAUACAUGUCAUCCUAUAUCCAUCCAUGCCCCUGGUUGCAUUUAUAGGUUACUGUAGCUUGUUCUUAUCUUGCUUCAAAGUUGCUUCAUAAUGUUGUUGUCAGCCCGUUAACAUUAAGUUCAGUUGUUUACAUUUUUUUCUAGUGAUCCAUGCAUCCUAUGACCUUGCUAUUGCCAUGCUUAGCUUCACAAAUAUGUCUUCUUACUGUUGGGUGCCUUGCCAUGCCAUGUAUUGCUCUGUAGUGAGUUGCACAAGCUCUUCUAUAUGCCUUCAUAAUUAUGUUCCUGCCAUGUAUGAAUCUGUAUAAUAACUUGCUAUGUUUACGUGGGUGCCAUCAUAUUUUCUGAUCCUUUUUGGCUUAUGGUCAGUAAGGGUCUUUUGAUCUAUGCAUUUAGUAGAUUCAUGCCAUGCCUUUGUUUACCAUGAUAAGUUCCUGUAACAUGUUGUUUGAUAGCUCUAAACAUUGCAUCGUGAUGUUAUUUUCUGCAAAGUCUGAAAUUGUUAUAACUUGCAAUCUUACCAUGUGUGUUUGAGUAUGUUCUAGUGAUUUCUGGAGAUAGCUCAGUGUUAAUGUUUUGUUGUGCUUUACCUGUACAUCAUGCCCAUGCCUUUUGUUAUUAUGUUUGGGUGCUGUAGCUUGUUUUUUUGGUGCUCGCAAUAUGCCUAGUUGCUGUUUUGGACAGCUUGUCCUUUAAACUUGUUUCAUGUGUGUGUGUUCAACCGUUGCUCCGUUUUGAGUGUGCUCUAUAUGAAACUUGCUUGAUUUUGCAUGUAGCUUCAUAUUAUCAUGUUGAAUCCUUGUUUUGAGGUGUUUGCUUGAUGUUUGGGUGCAUUUUGCAUCAAUGCCAUGUUUAACUUGUGUUGCUCAUAUCUUCUAGGCCGUAGCUCCGAACUAAAUGAACUUUAUAUGUAACUUGACUAGAAUCUCGUGUAGAUCAUCUUGGUGCAUCUUAACUUGCUGUUUAACAACUUGAACAUAAGGUUUGUUCAGAUCUGGACCAAUUUUGAAAUAUGCAUAUGAGGACUUACCGGAAUUGUUAUAUGUUGUUCACGGCCUCAUUUAAACUUGCCUUGAUGUGUUGUUCUUGUUUGCAUCAUAUCUUGCCAUGAGUAGCUUCAUGUAGCUUUGUCAUGCAUCAUGCUCGUGUGUGCAUCAUGUCUUGUUCAUGUGUGGUGUGUUUACCAUGUUGUGUGCUUCUUCUUGUUAGUUCCUGUUUCGUUGCGAUCGUGAGGAUCCGUUCGUCUACGCUUGGUUCAUCUUCAUGCGUUCGUCUUCUUCAUGGACUCAUUCUUCUUCCUUGCGGGAUUUCAGGAAAGAUGACCGCUACCCUGGAUCUCGCUACUAUCAUUGCUAUGCUAGUUGCUUUGUUCUAUCGCUUUGCUGCGCUACCUAUUACCUGUUUAUCAAGCCAUCCCAUAUUGCCAUGAACCUCUAACCUUUGACACCUUUCCUAUGCAAACCGUUGUUUGGCUAUGUUACCGCUUUUGCUCAGCCCCUCUUAUAGUGUUGCUAGUUGCAGGUGAAGUGAAGAUUUCUCCAUGGUGGACAGGAUUUUGAUUGGGAUAUCACAAUAUCUCUUAUAUUAUUAAUGCAUCUAUAUACUUGGUAAAGGGUGGAAGACUCGGCCUUUUGCCUGGUGUUUUGUUCCACUCUUGCCGCCCUAGUUUCCGUCAUACCGGUGUUAUGUUCCCGGAUUUUGCGUGCCUUACGCGGUCGGGUGAUUUAUGGGACCCCCUUGACAGUUCGCUUUGAAUAAAACUCCUCCAGCAAGGCCCAACCUUGGUUUUACCAUUUGCCUCACCACCACCUACCCUUUCCCUUGGGUCGGCCAACCCGAGGGUCAUCUUUAUUUUAGCCCCCCCGGGCCAGUGCUUGUCUAAGUGUUGGUCCGAACUGAGCUGCCUGCGGGGCCACCUCGGGGCAACUUGAGGGUUGGUUUUACUCGUAGCUAGUCUCAUCCGGUGUUGCCCUGAGAGCGAGAUAUGUGCAGCUCCUAUCGGGAUUGUCGGUGCAUCGGGCGGCUUUGCUGGUCUUGUUUUACCAUUGUCGAAAUGUCUUGUAAACCGGGAUUCCGAGUCUGAUCGGGUCUUCCUGGGAGAAGGUCUAUUCCUUUGUUGAUCGCAAGAGCUUGUCAUGGGCUAAGUUGGGACACCCCUGCAGGGUAUGAUCUUUCGAAAGCUGUGCCUGCGGUUAUAGGCAGAUGGGAAUUUGUUAAUGUCCGGUUGUAGAUAACUUGACACCAGAUCCGAAUUAAAACGCAUCAACCGCGUGUGUAGCCGUGAUGGUCUCUUCUCGGCGGAGUCCGGGAAGUGAACAUGGUUUCUGUGUUAUGUUUGAUGUAAGUAGGAGUUCAGGAUCACUUCUUGAUCAUUACUAGUUGAUGACCGUUCUGUUUGCUCUCUUCUCGCUCUUAUUUGCGUAUGUUAGCCACCAUAUCUGCUUAGUUGCUACUGCAGCCUCACCACUUUACCCCGUCUAUUAAGCUUUGCUAGUCUUGAUACCCAUGGUAAUGGGAUUGCUGAGUCCUCGUGGCUCACAGAUUACUACAACAACAGUUGCAAGUACAGGUUAUGCGAUGAUCAUGACGCGAGAGCGAUGCUUGCUUGCGUUGAGUUCUUCUUCUGCUUCUUCUUCGAUCAGGGGAUAGGUUCCAAGUCGGCAGCCUGGGCUAGCAGGGUGGAUGUCGUUUGAGUUUCUGUUUGUGUUUCAUCCGUAGUCGGAUGAUGCUCUGAUGUAUUGUGAUGUUGUAUUCAUGUGGCAUUGUAUGCCUUAUGUAUGUAUCCCCAUCUAUUAUGUAAUGUUGACGUAAUGAUAUCCACCUUGCAAAAGCGUUUCAAUAUGCGGGUCUAUCCUUGGUGGGACCUUCGAGUUCCUUUUGGAUAGGGUCGCAUAUUGGGCGUGACAAAUUAGGCGACGAGCGGUUUUCCUGGACCUUUCUCACCGUGCAUCAGGGGUGGGCUAUAAAAACGGUAGCGCGGCUCUCUUCCAAUACACAAACACAAUGCCACUCUACUACCUCUUUGGUUUGGAAGGGAUCGAGCCAAGCUCCUUUGGCGAGGCUGUGUUCCUGGUGGCGCUGUGGUGGUUCCUAGCUGCUCUGCUGGGCCCGCUGAUCGGCUCGUCGUUCCUCCUGGUGAUACUCAUUAGGAACGAGCGGGCUCGAGGCAACGCGCGGCUGGGUGCGGUGGCUCGAGGUGCGGAAGAAGAUGGUGCACGGGGUGGUCCUCUACCACGCUUGAUUCUCCGUCGCUUCCCGCCGGCGGAGUAAUCGCGUGCUGUAGUGGAGCGAUGGUGGUGACUUGUCGACGCCACGCAAGGCAGUGAUGGUGGUGGUGAUGGGGUUCGGAUGCGGGUGAGGUGUUUAUGCCAGCUCAGGAAUCAAGCUAGGGCACGGAAAUUUUUUUGCGGAUUACUCCAUGAAAUGUAGGUGUCGAGGUAGAAUCGGAGUUGAAAUCUGUAUCGGGGAGUUGUACUGGAUCGAGUGGAAUAAAUCUGGCAGCGUUUCUCUGGAAACGCAAUUGGGUUAAGGAAAAAGAACUAGGGAUGAGAAAUGGCCAGAAGGAAAUGCCUCUUCGAGGCUCUGGGUUUGAGAAUCUAGCACACGGGGUAUGCACAGAUAGAGAUAGGGAUGUGACUUUGCAUUUCCCGAGUACUACACAAAUGUACUCGUGGGUAAACCAGGGCUGCGUGUAGGAUGCAAUCUACACUAACAAGCAAACAGACAGAUGCAACAUACAUGCAAUAGAAAAACACACCAGACAAAUCACACUAAGGUGUUUUAAUGCUAGUGGAUGUAUGUACUCCUGGUAUACAUAUACCUACACCGGCGCUGUUGGGGAUAUAACUAUUAGGUAUGACCCGCGCAGGAGGGGCUGGGUUAUACCUAUGGUGAUUCAUCUUAUGAAGCCCACGGGGAUAUUUGAAGAUGGCAGUUUAGUUAAGGGCCCAAGGCCCAAAGGCGACUUAAGGCCUGUGAGGGUAAACCGCCAUAUAUGUAUGACUUGUAUUGUAAGGCAAGAAUAGAUAGUCACCGAGCCGGGCACUGUUUAUGAGCCGGCCGGGACUCCGUGAGCCACUGGGCGUCACCUAUGUAUAUAAAGGGACGACCCGACAUCGAUUCAGGACAAGAAACAAUAGAUUGAAAGCUAGGUCAAGCGGAUUUGCUCCCUGAUAAUCGAGACAUAAGCAAUACCACCUCAAACUAGAUUAGGCCUUUACCUUCACUGCAAGGGGCUGAACCAGUAUAAACUCCCGUGUCCUUUGUCCCGUUUAACCUCUUUAAGAUACCUAGUUGUGAUGGCUCCACGACUAAGUCCUUUUGCUAGGACAUCUGCCGUGACCUUUCCAUGACAGUUGGCGCCCACCGUGGGGCCAGUGCAUGGUGGUUUUGAGUUCUUGAAGGGCAGCUUCAAAGGGCUCAAGUGAUACGUUGUGGGCCGAAUGACCAAGAUUCGUCGCGGCAAGCUCUACAUCGAUGAUGUAGGCUAGGGCCCCGAGGCCGGCUCAAUUGAGUACGGGUGCCGGGUCCCCUUCGGUGGAAUCCAUGUCUUCAUCGGAAGAUCGGCGAGCCGGGCCUUGAGCCGGACAUCUGCACAGACAUCAUCGAGACGGCUCAGCGUGCAAGACCCGCCCGAGCUCAGCCCGCCAUGAAGCGUGCCUUCAUGGGAUGCAUCCAUGGAGCAGAAUUUGAUGAAGGAUCUAUGUCUGGCGGUGAGAUGGCCAUCUACUCUGAUGGCGAGUCAUCCACGGGCGAGACUACUUCGCUGUAUCAGCUGCAAGAUGGCGGGCUUGGGGGCUAUUCCGAUGGCAAUAGUAUUCCGGACCCCUAUGAGCCGCUAAACAGAGUUGGGAUCUUCAUGGCUGGGACACAGCCUAGGCAGAAUUCUUCAACCGCCGCAGCGAUGAUUUUCGGGUCAGCAACGGUGACGGCAGCCGGGGCAGGAGGCCAUGUGCCCCCGCCGGCUCAGGUUUUGAUGGCUUUAAUGGAUAAAUUGACAGCUUUGUUAACCGCCAUGGUCAACCCGGAGAAUCAAGCUCAGCAUGAUGCGGAGGCGGCAAAGUUACGUGAUGAGGUAGCACUGGCCAAGGAAGACCUGGCGGCAGAAGACGUCAAGAUAGCCGCAGAACGGGCUGCUUUAGAUGCUCAGGCCCAACGGAUUCAGUCAGAAGCUUUCCGGCUCACAAUGGAUCAAAAACAUCAAAUGAAGUCAUGAGGAGGAGGCACCAGACACGUUUACCUCCGGUUUAUGAGGCAAGAAACCUCUUUUGUACGCCCGGAGCGGGGACCAGUAACCCGCCGGAGAUAAAUCGGGCUGCGGCACCUGGAGUUGGGACACCGGGUCAACCACGCAUGAUGGAACCCCCUCGUCUGCGUACCGCUCCACCUCAACAUGUACCAACGCCGCCGGGUCAUUAUUCUAUUCCUUUGGAGAACAUGAUUGCUGCCGCAACGCGAUUGGUGGCUCUCCCGAUGGAUGGCGACUCUCCAACGGCGGUUGAAACACGAAGGGUCAGAGAACUUCUUCAGAUAGCAUUGGCGUAGCAGAAGGCAUAUUCUUACAGCCGAGAUAGGAUUCACUCGACCCCUCGCCCAAGCCAGAGUUAUAGUAGGCACAUGGACUCACCAGUCGUGUCAAGCAACACCCAGCGCCAUGUCCAGCCGCGUGGGCAUGACCCGACGCGUGAUGGAGCUCCUAACUUGGUGGAUCAGGAUAGAGUGCGUAAAUAAGCCGAGUAGGCGGCUCAGCAGGUGGCUCACCAGCCCCUUCUAGUUUAUCCAGCGACUUCGGUUGAGGCAGGCGUGACAUCUGGAUCUACAGGUGUACCCUGCUUGGUGUCGGCUCUACGUAAUGAGCGUUUGCCCAAGGAUUUCAAAGGACCUCGAAAGGAGCCUAAUUACAUAGCCGACUUACCCCCGGAGGCGUGGAUUGAAAGUUAUGAGAUGGCCAUGGAAUUACUGGAAGUCAGUGACGCUGCGUGUGCCAAGUACUUCACCAUGAUGCUGGAUGGAACGGCACGUACUUGGUUAAAGUUAAUGCCGGCUAAUUACAUCGGGUCAUGGGCUGAGCUAAAAGCCCGGUUUAUUCAAAACUUCAAGGACACAUGCAAGCAGCCCAUGUCGAUCGUGGACUUGGCGACUUGCGCCCAAGAGGAGGGUGAAUCAACGACCCAUUGGGUGCGCCGGGUCAAAGCUAUCAUACAUUCAUCUAAUAACAUGAAUGCCGGCUCUGAGGUCUUAAUGUUGGAGAAAAAUUGCCGUUUUUUGUCUCUUAAACAGAAGUUGGGGCGGCUCAAGCGCUAUUGCAAUGAUAUGGGGCAGCUGAUGGCAGCUCUAAUCAAAUAUGCCGACUCUGAUAGUACCAAGGACCCUGAGUCUGACGAUGAGAAGACAGGGAAGGGAAAGAAGAACGGUAACACCAAGGGUCAACAGCAUAACCCAGUGAAUCAGGGGGGCAACGGUAAAUGCAAGGCGGAUGGUAGCUCGGAGUUUGUGGCUAACACCAAUGCACAUGGCAAUAAUCAGUGUCGUAAGGGUUGGCCGCCUCCUCGAAACAGUGGACCAGGUCCUACUCUUGAGUAGUUGCUUAACGAGCCCUGUCCAAAGCAUGGCACACAGGAGAAACCAACUACUCACCUUUGGAAGGAUUUUUCCAUUAUGAGGUCUUUCAAAAAUUUGGACUCAUUUCACAGCAAUCAUGGGCCAGGCGGCGGCUCAGGCGGCAUCAGUUCUCAUGGUCCGGGUUAUGGAGGUGGCGGUUCUAAUUCCGGCUUCCAGGGCCACUAGGGCAAUCAGGGUGGUUUUAAUCAAGGCAAUCAGGGUGGUUAUAAUCAGCAAUCCGGCCAGGGGGGCCAGCAGCAGCAGCAAUCUGGAUUUCAGAGUAAUCCGAAAUAGCUGAAUAGUGGCCAGUAUCAUGUUUUCACCACAAGUUUAUGCAAGCGGGACCAGAAGCUCCAUAAGCGGGCCGUGAACGCCGUUGAGCCGGCGGUUCCUCAUUACUUGCGAUGGUCUUAGUAGCCCAUUAUGUGGAGUAGAGCGGACCACCCUCCCGGGGUUGACAAUCUGGGUCACUUGGCCUUGGUGGUGGCACGUCAAGUUGGUGGAUACAAAUUCGCUAAGGUGCUCAUGGAUGGAGGCAGUAGCAUCAACAUCCUUUAUUAUGAGACUUUCCGUCGCAUGGGGUUAACUAAUAAAAAUCUUAAGACAUCCAACACUGUUUUCCAUGGAGUGGUGCCGAGUAAGUCGGUGUACCCAGUGGGCAAGAUUGAGCUGGAGGUGGCCUUUGGGGAUGAACAUGAUUCCAGGGCUGAAAAGUUAACCUUUGAAGUGGUCAAAAUCAAAAGCCCGUACCACGCUCUGUUUGGACGGCCGGCUUAUGCCAAGUUCAUGGCACGACUGUGUUAUGUUUAUCUGCAGCUCAAGAUGCCAGGUUAUAAGGGGACCAUCACAGUUCAUGGGAGUCGGAAGAUAGCCCUGGAAUAUGAAGACGGGGAUGCUGCUUAUGCUGAGUCCGUCUGUGCAACGGAGGAAUUGAAGUUUUACAAGGACAAUGUUGACCCGGCGGAUAUGACAUCUUUGAAAAAGCCAACUACAGAGCAUGAUCCGGUGCUGAAGUUUAAGUCGGUGGAUGACACCAAGCUAGUUGAUUUUGUUCCUGGCGACUCAUCCAAGCAGUUCAGUAUCAGUUCUAAUUUGGAUCCAAAAUAGGAAAGCACGCUCAUCGAGUUCAUCCAUGAGAACCGGGACAUCUUUGCAUGAAAACCUUCUGACAUGCCGGGUGUACCGAGGGAACUCGCUGAGCACACUCUCAAUAUUGAUCCGAAAUUUAAGCCGGUCAAGCAAUUCCCUCGUCGUUUCAACGAGGAGAGGCGUAAGGCCAUUGGUGAAGAAGUGACCCGACUCUUGGCGGCUGGGUUCAUUCUUGAAGUUUUUCAUCCAGAGUGGUUGGCUAACCCGGUGCUAGUCCUUAAGAAGAAUGGCACUUGGCGCAUGUGUGUGGAUUACACGGACUUAAAUAAGGAUUGUCCGGCUGAUCCUUGUGCUCUCCCUCGUAUUGAUCAAAUCAUUGAUGCUAUGGCGGGUUGUGAGCGUUUGAGUUUUUUGGAUGCUUAUUCUGGUUAUCAUCAGAUCAAAAUGGCAGUUAAGGACCAGGAGAAGAUAGCUUUCAGUACUCCCUUUGGAGCCUUCUGCUAUGUGUCUAUGCCUUUUGGGCUCAAGAGCGCCCAGGCGACUUAUCAGCUAUGUGUACAGAAUUGUCUUCACAGUCAGAUUGGGUGCAAUGUUCAUGCUUAUGUGGACGACAUUGUGGUGAAAUCCAGAGAGAAGGAAACCUUGAUAGAUGAUUUGAAAGAAACCUUCGAUAAUCUCCGGGCCUACAAGAUGAUGCUUAACCCGGCCAAGUGUGUUUUUGGUGUGUCAGCAGGCAAGCUUUUGGGUUUUCUGGUUUCUAACAGAGGCAUUGAGGCUAACCCGGAGAAGAUCAAGGCCAUCACCUCCCUGGCUAAGCCGGCGUGUAUCAGAUGAUGAAGAAAACAGAUAACUUCGUCUGGAGUGAUGCUGCUAACGACGCAUUUGAAGACUUGAAGAGGCAGGUAGCUGAGCCGCCAGUCCUUGCUACUCCUAUUGAUAAAGAGCCAUUAUUGUUAUAUGUGGCCGCUAACACCCGUGCCAUCAGUGUGACCAUUGUGGUGGAGUGGAAGGAGGCUGGCAAGGAAUAUCCAGUUCAACGGCCGGUUUACUACAUCAGUGAAGUGCUUAUUGAGUCCAAGCAGAGAUAUCCACAUUGACAGAAGCUCGUUUAUGGGGUGUUCAUGGCCAGCCAGAAGCUUAAGCAAUAUUUUCCGGGUCAUCCCAUCACCGUGGUCAGUUCUGCUCCGUUAGGAGAUAUUAUUCAAAACAGAGAAGCCACAGGACGAGUCGCCAAGUGGGCCAUUGAACUUGGACCUCAUAGUUUGAAGUAUGUGCCUUACACUGCUAUCAAGUCUCAAGCACUGGUGGAUUUCAUCAACGACUGGACAGAGCUGCAGAUGCCCGAAGAGAAGCCAGGUAACACAUAUUAGACUAUUCACUUUGAUGGGUCCAGUUAGUUGGAAGGCUCGGGCGCUGGAGUUGUCUUAGCUUCCCCUCAAGGUGAAAAGUUUUGUUAUGUUCUAAGGUUGAUGUUUCCCUGCACUAAAAAUGCAGCUGAGAACGAAGCCUUGCUCCAUGGUCUUCGGAUGGCUAAGGAGAUGAACUUAAGCCGGGUGAGAUGUUUCGACGACUCAGAUUUGGUGUCUCAACAAGUCUCAGGCACAUGGGAUUCUAAGGACCCACUCAUGGCGGCUUAUCGCCAAGUUGACGCUAUUGCUGGUCACUUCAAGGGUUAUCAAGUGGAACACAUCAAUCACAGGAAAAAUGAGGCGGCUGAUGCCUUAAGCCGGUUGGGCUCUCCACGUAAGCCGGUGCCACCUAACACUUUCUUGGAUAUUCUGCAUAACUCUUCUAUCAAGUUGCCUACAGAGGAAGACCUGACUGUUCCGGACUCGGAGGCACAAUUGGUGGUGGCUAUUCAUACUAUCCCAGAUUGGACAGUACCAUAUUUGGCUUACAUGGCCUGGGGCGAGUUACCUGAGGAUGAAACUUUGGCCAGGCAGAUAACCCGGCGGUCUAAGUCAAUGACAAUUGCCAAUGGCGAGUUACACCAUCGUAGUGUCACUGGGGCGUUUCAGCGUUGCGUUUCUCCUGAGGAAGGUAGUAAGAUUCUUCAUGAGAUCCAUGAGGGAGAUUGUGGUCAUCAUGCCGGCUCAAAAUCCCUUGUGGCCAAAGUGUUUCGUCACGGAUUCUAUUGGCUGACGGCUCAUGCGAAUGGAGAGGAUAUGGUCAGUAAAUGUGAUGGAUGUGAGAAAUUUUCAAGGCGAGCUCAUGUGCCGGCUCAAGAAUUGAGGAUGAUUCCAAUUACUUGACCGUUUGCAGUCUGGGGGCUUGAUAUGGUUGGACCAUUUAAAAGGUCCAAUGAUAAAAAGACCCACCUCUUGGUGGAGGUUGACAAAUUUACAAAGUGGGUUGAAGCAGAGCCGGUCCGUAAGUGUGACGCAGCAAUGGCGGUUCAGUUCAUCAAAAAGGUGAUUUUCCGCUUUGACUUUCCCCACAGUAUCAUAACUGAUAAUGGCACUAACUUGUCCAAGGGUUCUAUGAAAGAUUUUUGUCAAUGUGAGCAUAUUCACCUUGAUGUGUCAUCAGUAGCUCACCCCCAAUCCAAUGGUCAAGCUGAAAGAGCCAAUCAAGAAAUUUUGAGAGGCAUCAAACCCCAGUUUAUGGUUCCUUUGCAACAGACGCCGGGUUGUUGGGUGGAGGAGUUACCUUUUGUGAUAUGGAGUAUCAAUACUACCCCCAACAGAUCUACGGGUUACAUGCCUUUCUUCAUGGUUUAUGGAGCAGAGGCGGUUCUCCCUAGUGACAUCCGUCAUGAUUCUCGUUGCGUGGCGGCUUACAUUGAAGUUGAUAUUGAAGAAGCACGUCAGGCUGCACUUGACCUGUUGGAUGAGAAGCGCGAUCUUGCGGCAGCCCGUUCGGUGAUUUAUCAACAAGACCUGCGCUGUUACCAUAGCCGCUGGGUUAAGUCCAGAACCUUUCAAGAAGGUGAUUUGGUGCUCCGGCUCAUCCAGGAUCAAACUGACAUGCACAAGCUAUCCCCACCUUGGGAAGAGCCCUUUGUGGUCAGCAAGAAUUUUAACAAUGGGUCAUACUACCUUAUCGAUGUUCGAGAGCACAAAGACUCACAUAAGUCGAAAGAGGAGACCCGCCGGCCGUGGAAUAUCGCUCAUCUUCGGCCUUACUACACUUGAGCCACCGGCUCUUAUGAUGUACAUAUUUUUGAUGAUGUAUAUAUUAUGAUUUUAAUAAAGCAGGGUCUCUGUCGUUUCAUCCUCAAGAAUCAUGUAUCUUCAUUAUCAUAAGUUUAAAAGACCAAAUGGGGGCUGGAUCGUAUUCGAAUCGUAGCUUUAACCCCUUUUGGCCGGCUUCCUGGUCAUAUUCGAAUCAUAGCCGUAAACAUUUUGAUCAUCUGGGGGCUUGGUCAUAUUCAAAUCACAGCUAUUAACCCCUUUUGGUCCGGCUCAUGAUCGUAUUCGAAUCAUAUCUGUUAAAAAAUUUGAUCAUUAGGGGCUUGAUCGUAUUUGAAUCAUGGCUAUUAACCCCUUUGGUCCGGCUUCCUGGUCGUAUUCGAACCAUAGCCAUAAACACUUAGAUCACUUGGGGGCUAGAUCGUAUUUGAAUCACAGCUAUUAACCCCUCCUGGUCCAGCUCAUGAUCGUAUUCGAAUCAUAGCCGUUAAAUACUUUGUUCACUUGGGGGCUUCCUGACCGUAUUCGAAUCAUAGCUGUUAGUACCCCUUUGAUCGACGCAAUGCCAAAAACCAUUUGGGGGCUUCCUGAUCGUAUUCAAAUCAUAGCUAUUAACCCUCUUGGACCGGCUUCCUGGUUGUAUUCGAACCAUAGCCUUGUUUUUUGUCAUUUGGCUUGAUUUCUUGAAAAUUUUCCGGUUCUUCUUGUCUUUUGGUUUAAAUUAAUUCUGGCCAUGUAGCCUUUACUUUCACGGCUCAUAUUUGAAGCUUACCUAUGGUUUCUAUCACCCAGCUUACUAAAGAGGCGACAAGUCAUCUAUACAUAGUAUUAUCAGGCACUUGGAAGUAUUGGAUCUUACAAGCUUUUGGGUGUUCACCCUUAGUGCACAGGUCUCGAAAACCGACAGUACGAUUUAAUAUCAAAGGUAUGAUAUUGCUAUUAUGUUUAAAUUCUAUUUAAACCAGCUUUAUCUAUAAACUGUUUUCAACAUUAGUGGUCAUAUGCGAGAUAUUAUGACCCGCCCAACGGUAAACCGCCAAGGGAUCUUAUGAUCUAUUUUGUGUGCAAGAUAAUUCAAAAAAUUUACCUGCGCCAGUUGAACAAUCUGAUAAGUAUAAAGAGGAUAAUUAUAAAGCGGCGGCUUAACAGUAUGGAGCAUAACACAAAAACAUGCACGAUGGCACGACAGAGAAAAGUUAUUGCUACCCUAUUACAUGACUCCCAGAGUCUAAAUAAUUAACUGUUUUUUCAGAAGGCCACACAUAUGAACCGCCCAGCGGGUCAAUCUUCUUGAUGGCCUGAUGCUUCCGGAUCAUCCCUCUCCGCUUCUUUGUCCUGAUCUAUGUCCUGGAAGGUUGGUGACGACCAGUCAAUGCCACUCAAAGCUUGGAACUCAGCUUCAUCAUCAAUUAGCUUGGAUGGGUCAACUUCAGGGGAAAAAGUGUGCUUACAGAUUAGGAGGAUCAGGCCCGUCACUUUGUAAGACGGUGUUGGCAUCUUCUGAUUUCCUACGUCAUAAGCUGGGUGAUACUUGGUGAGGUCCGUCUCACUGGCAAUCAGACUGGCCAGAGGCUGUAUCUCCUUCACGCAAGCAGCAAGGUCCUUCUGUUCAAACGGAGUGUCGUCUUCCUUGAAGCUUGGAUACCCGAUAGAGAUAUCGACCGAGUCUAAUUCCGAUAACCAUGCUUUGGCCCGGCUUAAGGCAGUCACGGCUCCGGCUCUCACAGGUGACCGCUUCAUUUCACUAAACCACUGGGGCAGCAUGGAAAGUUUCCUUAACACAUCAACCAAGAGCGUGGGGGUUUCAUUGGAUGGAGAAUUUUUUUUGGCACUUCAUUGGAUGGAGAAAUUGUGGCCAAUGCACGCUGAGCACCAGUAUAAAGCUGCUCCACCAAUGUAUAAACCGCCUUUAGCUUCACAAGCAUGUCUUGGUUGAGAUUUUUGUUCCCAGGGCCUGCAUAAUAAUCACGGAAGGGUUAAAAGCAGAUAAUAUCGUCAAGGAAGAUAUUCAAAUUUGACAAUUAUAAGGCAACUUACCAAAGAUAGCAGACACCAUCUACGACACUUGGCGUUUUAAGCCUGUAACUUCAGUGGUUGCUUCCUGGAGAGCUGCCUCCGCCUUUUCCGUGUCAAGGCAAUCUUUUCUUCAGCCCAGGCACUUUUUUUUAGCUUCAAAGCCGGUUCUGAGUUUUUCUACCUCCCCACGCUAAAUUCGAACUUUGAGUUCGCCUUCUCGGUCUCAGCCUCUUGCAGCUCUACACGGGUCUUCAAGUCAGACAACUCUGAUUGAAGUUGAGCAGUGGUGGUAUGUAUAUAUACCAGAUUAAAGUCAUAAUUUAACGUUAGUUCAACAUAUUAAGUCCCAAGCCUUUUGGAAGCAACAACACUUGGCGCUUGGGGGCUAAUGUCUACCGAAAGCUCUAUUUAUGUGGUGGCUUAUGUGAAUAAGUCCCAAGCACUUUGCGAGAAAGAGUACUUGGCACUUGGGGGCUAAUGCAUAUUGCUUGUCUUGUUGCAAUUUUACGAUGACACCUUGGUGCUACAACCAGCCAUAACCGCCUCAUGAGAACUACAUAACUUUAAGCCGGAUUUUGAAAGGAUUGUUUCAUAGGUUAUUAUUCAUGUUCAUGGUGAUCAAGUCUACAACAUAUUCAAAAUAAGCAGUAAAGUUGGGGGCUUGCAGGAUAUGCAAAACUUAAGAGUGGAAGAGAUCAUACCUCAAAUUUGUGGUGCAUCUGCUUCACCAUGUCAACUUCAAGGUCACGGCUGCUGUGUACUUGGUUGAGAAAGCCAGAGUAUAUUUCACCAAUGCCCAGUUGAGCAUAGUUGGAGACAUCAAAUCGCACUUUGCGCGGCCCAACAUGUUCUUCCUUGGGAGAAUUCUUGGCCAGCAUAGUAGGUCUCCCCAGUUCAGUAAAGCCGGUCUUGGUGAUCUCUACAUCAUCAUCUUGUGUGUUUCCUGUCUUGACAGGUGUCGGUGUCAAAACCGGCGGAUCUUGGGUAGGGGGUCCCGAACUGUGCGUCUAGACGGAUGGUAACAGGAGACAAGGCACAGGAUGUUUUUACCCAGGUUCGGGCCCUCUCGAUGGAGGUAAAACCCUACUCCUGCUUGAUUAAUAUUGAUGAUAUGGGUAGUACAAGAGUUGAUCUACCACGAGAUCAGAGAGGCUAAACCCUAGAAGCUAGCCUAUGGUAUGAUUGUUGUUCGUCCUACGGACUAAAACUCUCCGGUUUAUAUAGACACCGGAGAGGGUUAGGGUUACACAGAGUCGGUUACAAUGGGAGGAGAUCUACAUAUCGUAUCGCCAAGCUUGCCUUCCAUGCCAAGGAAAGUCCUAUCCGAACACGGGACGAAGUCUUCAAUCUUGUAUCUUCAUAGUCCGCGAGUCCGGCCAAAGGUCAUAGUCCGGCCAUCCGGACACCCCCUAAUCCAGGACUCCCUCAGUAGCCCCUGAACCAGGCUUCAAUGACGACGAUUCCGGCGCGCAAAUUUGUCUUCGGCAUUGCAAGGCGGGUUCCUCCUCCGAAUACUUCAUAGAAGAUGUUGAACACAAGGAUAGUGUCCAGCUCUGUAAAAUAAGUUCCACAUACCACCGUAGAGAGAAUAAUAUCUGCACAAAUCUAAUAUGCUGACGUAUUCCGUAGCGUGACUUCAUGCCACAACCAAGCCUUCAUUUGAAUCGUUUUACUGUCCCACCUCAGCGUGUUUAGCGAGGCGGUUUCCUUGGCACGUCUUGUCAAAGCAGAGAUUGUGUCCCCUUAUUCCGGGAUUCUCAUCAAUACGGGCGUGGGUAACCCAACCACGCCAUCAAUCGCGGCGCUUGGGAGAUAACCGAGCUUUACUAGGCUGGUGGGGGCACGCAGUUUCGGCCGCCCAUAUAAGGGGAUAAGAAUUCACCCUUUCAAUCUAUGCCUUCUUCCUCCUUUGCUUAUCCAUUUCCGUGCACUCGAGCUCCAGCGCCCAAGACCGCACUUCCCACCUCAACCUUCUCCAAUCAUGUCUGGAGCGGGAGGUAGAUGGAUGGCCUCCACCGUUACGGAGGGGCACAUCAAAAAGUUGAGGAAAGCCGGAUAUUUGUCUAACGACAUCGCGCACCGGCUCCCAGAUGAGGGGCAACUCAUCCCCACCCCUAGGCCCCAUGAGAGGGUGGUGUUCCUCACCCAUUUCCUCCGCGGACUGGGCUUCCCACUUCACCCAUUUGUCCGGGGGCUCAUGUUCUACUACGGCCUGGAUUUCCAUGAUCUGGCACCGAACUUCAUCCUCAACAUCUCGGCGUUUAUUGUGGUGUGUGAGGUCUUCCUCCGCAUCCAACCCCACUUCGGCUUAUGGCUGAAGACCUUUAAUGUCAAGCCGAAGGUCGUGGGCGGCCAACAAGUGGAGUGCGGAGGCGCCAUGGUGGGCAAGAUGGCCAAUGUCACAUGGCUCAAGGGCUCCUUUGUGGAAACCAUCAAAGGGUGGCAAUCGGGGUGGUUCUACAUCACCGAACCGCGUGACCCUGAAUGGGCAGCGGCCCCCGAGUUCCGAUCUGGCAUCCCCACACGGCUCACCUCAUGGAAAGAGACGGGCCUAUCAUGGGGUAAUUCAUCAGAGGUGACCGGACUCCAAACCUGCAUCAAAGACCUGAUCGACAGGAAGGUGAAACUUGUCACCGUAGUCCAGGUCAUGCUCUUCUGCCGGAUCCUCCCGUGUCAACGACGGGCUUUUAAUUUGUGGGAAUUUGACCGGGCCCAGCACCAAACUUUGUCCAGGCUCUUCGACACAACGCACGAAGAUGCCUGGAAGGUGCUUUUCAAGAGCUCCGAGGUUCACCCUCCCAUUACCGAGGAUCGCGGAUUCUGCGCGAAGCGCCAAGCCAACGCGGUAAGCUUAGUUUACCCAUUACAGGGUACUUGUUUUUCAUAGUUUGACUCUAUGCGGGAUCUAAACUCCCAUUCCUUUAACAGGACUGGCAGAAGAAUUCCGGACAGAUCGACUGUCCGGCUCCUUUGCCCGAAGGCCCAGCAGAUGCCCGUUUGGCAAAGCUGCUGGUUCCGGCACCUCACGUGGUGCCGGAGAAGAAGGCCAAGAAAAAGGCCACGGGGACUCGAAAGAGUUCCCGGCGCCUGGUGGUGUCGGAUUCAUCGCCUGACGACCCCGAAGCGCACUCCGCCUCUGAAGACGAGGAGGAGGAAGAAGAAGCCUCUCCCCCUCCAACGGGGGGAGGAAAGAAAAGGAAGGCCGCCUCAACUGGGGAGGCCGGAGGGUCCAAUAAGGGGAAGACCCUUCUUCCGGACUACGCCUCCGACACCGACGACGGUGGAGAAGAAUGGCCAUCCAGGGCCAAGCCCCUGGAAAAAUCGUAAGUAUCCGGAUACCAGAAUAACUUAUGGCGUUCCCCUAUUGUACAGUACCUUCUGACGCCAAAUUCAAUCAUGCGGUCUGCCCAAGGCUCAGCUCGGCGAUUCGUCGAGCGGCUCCCUGGAUUCGUCGGAUGUGAAUAGCGCUUCACUCCCAAUGGCCUCCUUCCCUCGCCCUACGGACGAUGCCGAGGUGGAGUCCCAAAAGGGGCUAAACCAGGAGGAGGUGGUCCUGGAGGCGCCACAAGGCGACCUCCCGGACCCCAGGCCCAAAGGGGAUGAAGCCCCAGAGGGAUCUAAGUCCGGCCCUGGGCCGGACACCGCUCCGGAACCUUAAGUGGUUCCGGAGUCCGGCAGGCGCCCCCUCGCAAGAAGGGAAAGCCUACGACACCGGCGGCCUCUGUCCAACCGGUGGCGCCGGACAAUUUGCUGGAGGUGCUUAACGGCGCCUCCAUCGACGAGGAGCACCACACUGUUAUGAGUGCGGUGAUUCAGAAGGUUCAGUCCGCCAAGAGCGGGCUGACAGAAGCCUGUACCAGCCUUCUAACAGGCUUUGAGGUAUGUAUUUAAAACAUGUAAAAAUGUUACCGCAUAGACAGUAGCCCCGGAUGCUCAGUUUGGUGUUCGGAAAGAAAAGCCAGACUGAGGAUCUAAAAAAGAUAUACGCAAGAGUAUAACAUAAAUAUGUCAAUAUGGGAAUGCAGGCUGCGCUGCUGACCUCUGCCACACUAACUGCGGAGGUCGAUGCAUUGAAGCAGAGCCUCGAGCGGUCCGAGAACGAGUUCGGCCGUGCCAAGAAGAAGCUCACGGACACGGAAGGUAUGUAAUACCUUAUGUAAGUAUAUAAAAAAUACCUGGUUGCAAAUAAUGACAGGACCAACGUGAAUGUUGCAAGGUCCACAACUGAGGUGGUGGCCCUGAAGGAAGCGUUGUCCAAGGCCAAAGACAAUGCGGCCGUGGAGCGCACUGAGCGAGAAAAGCAAGAGGCGCGGGUGGUGGAGGUGCAGCAAGAGCUCAAUGCUCUCGUGAAGAAACACGAGGGUUUGGAGCUUGACUCAAAGACGCGAGAGUCCGAGCUUGCCUCGGCACUUGAAAGUGCCAAGUCUGCCAAGGCCGAAGCCCAAAAGUCCCUUCAAGAAAUUGAGGCGAUGAAAAAGAUAGCGGCGGGUAAGGCAUUCUUUAUGCAAAGCAAGCACGUAAAAGUAAAUUACCUGUUACUUACCCGAGUCCGGAGCUCUCUAGGAGCAUUCGCAGAUCUGCCCCGGAGUGUAUCCCACGCUGCCACAUUCUACCAGGCCGAGGAAGGGAGCUCGACGGAGAAGGUGUUCUGGUCGCACUAUGCUGGGGCUGGACACCCGGUGCCCUUGAGCGACCAGCUGAAGUAGCUGGUUGAGCUUCAUAAGGCAGCCGAACAGGCCAUGAAGGGCCUGAUAGGCCGAUUGUGGCCUGGGGAGGCCAUGCCUUUGAGCUACUUUGGGCUGGUGCGGCGGCUGGUGGAUGCCUGUCCACGGCUUGAAGUCAUCAAGCGCUCCAUAUGCAUCGAGGGCGCCCGUAGGGCUUUUGCCCGUGCUAAAGUGCACUAGGGCAAGCUGGAUGCUGAGAAGCUGGUGAAGGAUGGGCCACCGGAGGGGAAGGAGCAUCGCAGGCCCGAGAUGUAUUAUGAGGGUGUCCUGAAGGGUGCCGUCUUGUAGCGAAUGAAUGUACCAGGGAUGUAAUUUUUGAGUAAACUCGCUCGUGUUUAUCCUGUGCGCUGAAAACUUGUUCAUAUGCGCCAAGCAACGCCUUUUGAAUUUAAAAUAUUACCUUCUGUGCGGCCGUUUAUUAAAUCUGAGAGAUGCAAGUCGUCGGCUUCUACCGCCAUGCCACGAGUGCUGGGGUGUUCGGGAUAAACCUGAGCACUCUUGUUCCCAUUCUUGGGUCCAUCGAGGGAGGCGCUCAACACAACGAACAAGGAAAUCGGACUUAUAAUGCUUUAUCACUCUCACUUAGCCAUAGAAUUCUAUAAUUUUAAAUUUCGGCGAAGCCCCUAGUAUUCGGAAGACCGAGUUCGGGGCGCUAUCCACGCCUGGGCCGGACAAAGCCAGCUCAUCGCUCUAAGCAGCAUAAGUCUUUAAGGACUCGAAAAACCUCUUGAAUAGCGACCGGUCUCUCACCCUAUCAUGACAGUCAGUUUUAGCUUUCUCUACUGAGGUGUUAACCCAGCUCAACUGGGGCACAAUCGUAGUAGUUCUCCCAACGCUACCUUAGUCGACAUAGCGGAACAUAAGGUACCAAAACAUGGGAGCCGGGCAAACCCAACUAUUGACCCAAGACAUGAUUCGGAGCUGAUGCAUAUAAUGCUAUAAGUUCGGGGUGCCGCACUCAUGAGAGUGUUCGGUCUUCUCACACCGUAUUAUGGGGUACUUAAGCCCCUGAUGUAUUGGUCGUACCAAAGUGUACGGUUGCAUAAUGUAAUGACUGAACAUAUUUACAUGAAAAAUGAAUGCAAUAAUAGACAAGAGCUAUGUAUUGUUUAUUAAAGGGCUACUGUGAAAGCAGCAUGAUACAAAUAGUGCGAUAAGCAAGAGAUGGGAUUAUUUGACAUGUCCCCCUCCGGGGGCAAGCUGCGAGACUUUAAGUAAGACAGGUAUUUAGCUCGUUAUAGAGACCACCUGGAUGUUCGACGUGGCUUGCUGUCUCCCUGGCUGUUGCAUCGUGUGUUCGGCGAUUGUAUUGCCGGACAGGUCUUCCGAAGAGUGGAGUCCUGAAAGUAAGAAAAUAGAAAUGACAAAAUAGGGAGCCCCUAGUGCGGUUGAACCGCAUUCUGGGCGAGUCGUGGUUGUGCCCCUCCCCUUAUGCCCAUGGUAUUUCCAGAGUGUAAUUAUGUACGCGUGGUACUGGUAUCGCAAUCUCGCGAGGGCUGGGGUUGGGGCCGCACUGCUAUGUUUGCUUGGAACGUGCCAGACGGUUUUGUUGUAAGUUACUUCGGGCACGUUUGACGUUGUUCGGACAUUUAACAGCCGGACUAGAGAAUUGCCUUGAGAGGCUACUUUGUACUUCCGCCGCCAGGGCUGCCGUGUGCUCCUCUGUUCGGAGAGAGCGUUCGGUGUUUCCAUUGACCGUAAUGACUCCGCGAGGGCCUGGCAUCUUGAGCUUGAGAUAUGCGUAGUGCGACACCGCAUUGAAUUUUGCAAAUGCGGUUCGUCCAAGCAGGGGGUGAUAGCCACUGCAGAACGGGACUAUGUCGAAGAUUAACUCCUCGCUUCGGAACUUAUCCGGGGAUCCGAAGACCACUUCAAGCAUAACUGAGCCUGUACAGCUAGCUUCUACACCUGGUAUGACGCCUUUAAAGGUCGUCUUUGUGGGUUUAAUCCUUGAGGGAUCUAUUACCCAUUUUUUGCACUGUAUCAUGAUAAAGCAGGUUCAGGCUACUGCCGCCGUCCAUGAGGACUCUAGUGAGGUGAAAUCCAUCAAUGAUUGGGUCUAGGACCAAUGCAGAAUCCGCCAUGACGAAUGCUAGUGGGGUGGUCCCUUCGAUCAAAAGUGAUCGGGCAGGAGGACCAUGGGUUGAACUUUGGGGCGACUGGCUCCAACGCAUAGACAUACUUGAGAGCACGCGUCCGUUCCCUUUAGGGGAUAUGGGUUGCGUAUAUCAUGUUCACCGUCCGCACUUGUGGGGGAAAGCUCUUCUGUCCUCUGUUGUUCGGCGGCUGGGGCUCCUCCUCGUCAUCGCUGUGCAUCCCCUUGUCUCUGUGUUUGGCACUUGCCUGCCUGCUUGAACACCCAACAAUCCCUGUUGGUGUGAUUGGCUGGUUGUUCGGGGGUGCCAUGUAUCUGGCACGAGCGGUCGAGUAUCCGGUCUAAACUGGACGGGCCUGGAGUAUUUCUUUUGAAUGGCUUUUUCCGCUGACCGGGUUUAGAGCCUCUGAAUCCGGCAUUAACUGCCGUAUCCUCAGUAUUGUCGCCGUUAAUGCGGCGCUUGUGCUUGUUACGACGCGACCUGCCAUUGUUGUCCUUGGUAUCCGAAUUAUGAGGGCUCUUGGUCAUGUUAUUGCUACGAGCUAGCCAGCUGUCUUCUCCCUUGCAAAAGCGGGUCAUGAGUGUCGUGAGGGCUGCCAUAAAUUUCGGCUUUUCCUGUCCUAGGUGCCGGGCAAGCCAUUCGUCUCGGAUGUUAUGUUUGAAGGCUACAAGGGCCUCUGCGUCCAGACAGUCGACUAUUUGAUUUUUCUUGGUUAGGAACCGCGUCCAGAAUUGUCUGGCCGAUUCCUCUGGCUGCUGAAUUAUGUGGCUUAGGUCAUCGGCGUCUGAUGGUCGCACAUAAGUGCCCUGGAAGUAGUCAAGGAAUGCGGAUUCCAGGUCCUCCCAGCAACCAAUUGACUCUGCUGGCAAGCUGUUAAGCCAAUGCCGAGCUGGUCCUUUAAUCUUGAGCGGGAGGUAUUUGAUGGGGUGUAGAUCAUCACCACAGGCCAUGUGGAUAUGAAGGAGAUAAUCCUCGAUCCAUACCGCAGGAUCUGUUGUGCCAUCGUAUUGUUCGAUGUUUACGGGUUUAAAACCCUCGGGGAUUUGAUGAUCCAUUACUUCAUCUGUGAAGCAUAGUGGGUGUGCGACGCCUCUGUACUGGGCUAUAUCACGACGUAGCUCGGAUGAGCUUUGUCUGUUGUGUUCGGCCCGGCCGUAUUUGCCAUACCCAACGUGACGGUUAUCAUCACGUGUCGUAUGGCGCCCACGCAAUCCGUAGAUCGAUCUUGUUUGCCUUGCCUUGUCCUCCAAUAUGUCUCGUAGGUCUGGCGCAUUUCCCCGUGCCUUGGUACUUUUUGAGCGGCGCCGGGGUGCGGCUUGAGUUGAGGGCAGAAAGGUCUCUCUGUUGCGGCCACGGGGUGGCCGAUCGGCCGCAUCAUACGCUGGUGGUGUAGGUUUAGUUGCUUCCUCCUCUAGUUGGGGUAGCAGCCUGCGCUUUGGGUAGCUCUUGGAGGGGCGUUCAAGUUUGUACUUUUCGGCCGCCAGGACUUCAGUCCAUCUGUCGGCUAGCAAAUCUUGGUCAGCUCUAAGCUGCUGCUGUUUUUUCUUAAGGCUGCUUGCCGUGGCCAUAAGCCUGCAUUUGAAACGCUCUUGUUCGACGGGAUCCUCUGGCACGACAAAUUCGUCGUCGUCGAGGCUUGCCUCAUCUUCGGAGGGAGGCAUAUAACUAUCGUCCUCGACCUCUCUAUCUGCCACUGUCUUAUGAGGGCUGGCUUCUCCAUCCUGCUGCGCUGAAUCCUGCUGGAAGGGGUUGUCUUCGGCACUGUCCGGGGUGUUAUUUUCUCUGGUGCCGGAAUCACCAUUUUUGCUGUGGCGGGAUUUAGAGCGGCGCCGCUGAUGUCGACGCUUAGGCUGUUUCUUGGAGGGGUCGUCCUCCGUUGUUCCAUCGCCAUUCCCUUCCUUUGGGGUGUCCACCAUGUAUAUGUCAUAUGACGAGGUGGCUUUCCAGUCCCCUAUAGGUGCUGGUUCUUGGUCGUUUCCUUCAUCGGCGUCCAUACCGUCGAUGUCUUUGGAGUCGAAGUCGAGCAUGUCGGUUAAAUCAUCGACAGUGGCUACGAAGUGGGUGGUGGGUGGGUUUCGAAUUUCUUCGUCGUCCGUAUCCCAACCUUGCUGACCAUAGUCCGGCCAUGCUCUCCUGAUAAAGAGAGAGACUUUAGUGAACUCAGGAUGUCGCCAAAGGGAGAGUGCUGAAAGAUGUCCGCGGCGGUGAACUCCAUGAUCGGAGCCCAAUUGGGUUCGAUCAGAAGGGGUGCGGAAGAUUCAGAGUUCGGAAAGGAGGCCGGCACCUUGGAGUCACAAGCUUUAUAAAGGACAAGGCUGGUAUUUGGCUCGAUCACCAUAGAGAUUGCAGCCCCCGAGGUGGCGUCCAACCGUCCGUCCCCGAUUGGCACGGUCGGCUCCGAGCGGACAUCUGAGCGGCGCUCUCGGCAUUGUCCGGCAGCAGAGCUAGAUCAUGCCCAUCGUGACAGUGCGGCGCGCUCGGCUAUGGCUCGAAUCCGUCGAAGAUCAAGUCCUCAUGGAUAUCAACCGUGUAGUUCAAAUUUCCAAAUCUGACCUGAUGGCCAGGGGCGUAGCUUUCGAUCUGCUCCAGUUGGCCAAGCGAAUUGGCCCGCAGUGCAAAGCCGCUGAACACGAAGAUCUGUCCGGGGAGAAAAGUCUCGCCCUGGACUGUGUCGUGGUUGAUGAUCGAAGAAGCCAUCGGGCCUAAAGGUGACGACAUAGAGGAACUCUCAAUGAAAGCACCAAUGUCGGUGUCAAAACCGGCGGAUCUCGGGUAGGGGGUCCCGAACUGUGCGUCUAGGCGGAUGGUAACAGGAGACAAGGGACACGAUGUUUUUACCCAGGUUCGGGCCCUCUCGAUGGAGGUAAAACCCUACUCCUGCUGGAUUAAUAUUGAUGAUAUGGGUAGUACAAGAGUUGAUCUACCACGAGAUCAGAGAGGCUAAACCCUAGAAGCUAGCCUAUGGUAUGAUUGUUGUUCGUCCUACGGACUAAAACUCUCCGGUUUAUAUAGACAACGGAUAGGGCUAGGGUUACACAGAGUCGGUUACAAUGGGAGGAGAUCUACAUAUCGUAUUGCCAAGCUUGCCUUCCACGCCAAGGAAAGUCCUAUCCGGACACGGGACGAAGUCUUCAAUCUUGUAUCUUCAUAGUCCGGGAGUCCGGCCAAAGGUAUAGUCCGGCCAUCCGGACACCCCCUAAUCCAGGACUCCCUCAAUAGGGCUUGAAGCUUCAGGAUUUAAAGAGUCAUCAUUGGCUUGAUCAAUAGGUGGGUCAACAGUCAUUGUUGGAAUAUCAUGAACCGACUCAUACGGUUCAGGAAUAGAGGCCUCAUGCACUGCAUUUUGGAGCUCCGACUCAUUGACUCUCGGCUCUUCGGCCGCCUUGUUCUUCUUUGCCCUCUUACUAGGCUUUGCUUCUCCACUGAAUGAGUCAAAAAGGUCAGUAUAAGUAUAAAAGGAUUAUAAUGAGUAAAUGAUAAGUAAAUCAUCAUUACCUAGGAGCGGUCUUGAAAGCCUAGAUUGUAUUGAGUCACCGAAAGAGGAAUGAGAAGUUUCCUGAUAAUUUGAGUCGGAAGAAUUGAGUGGCCGACGAGUGAGACCCGCCAAAGGAUAAAAAUAGUUUAAGUCGGGCGUGGCCUCAUUUCGACGCUUCCUCGGUGUGUUCGGUAAGCCGGAGGAGAGUUCCAUAUCCUUGCUCGUCUGAGUCUGUCACCGGCUCUCGUGCUGCUGUUGCUUCAAAAUAAAGUGAGGAUCCAGAUGAGCUAAGGGGUGUGAAAAUCUUACUUUCUGGGUUACUCUUUGGACUUUUUGUCUUGGAAAAGGCUCGGAGUUGGAGGAAAUAAUAGUUACCUCUUCUUCCACUCCCUGACUCGUUCCCGUGUCAUCCUAAUGAUAGUAAGUGUCAAUAAGAUGGUGAAAAAAGAGCCAAGAGAAUCAAGGGCUACCUCCGACUCAGAGGUGUCCUCCAGUUGAAGUAAAUCAGAAGCGCUGGGCUUCUUUCCUCUCUUUGGUGGCUCUCCUGGUGGCUUUCUUGGUCUUCCUGGCUCUCUUUGCAGCUUUAUGAUCAUAUUCUUUUUUCCAAAAGUUGUCAUCUUACGAAAAUCAUCAAGGUUGAAAUAAAACAAAGUAUUAAGGGUGAGGGUUAAAUAGCCAGUUCGGCGGCUUACUUUUGGUGCCAGGUUAGACUCGCAGAAAGGGCUUAGGCCCACCUUGCUGCAAUCAGCUAGGCUCUCAUUCAGAAGGGACUUUGUCAUCUCAUUGAUAAGGUCAUCAGUUAACUCCUCGGAGCUGUGGCGCAGUGGAUCCUUUGUGCUACUGGUGUAAGUGCACAUUAAACCGGAGCGGCGGCUCAAGGGGAUGAUCCGCCAUGCGACCCAGCAUCGAACCAAGUCAAUGCAAUUUAAGUCGUUCCCCAACAGAGCCUUGACUUUGGCAAUGGUAGGGGCGAGCCUCUUGCGUUCAGCAGUUGUCAACUUGUCGGGGGGAGGAUGGUUCGAUUCAAGACGCAGGGCGCGAAAGCCGGGAUGUUUCAUUCCAAUCCUUGGGAUGACUCAGCGGCUGCGCAUAAGGGAAAAUGGCGUCUCUUCUUCGCUGAAUUCAGACCCCACCAAGUUCCAAACUAGGUCCAUUGGAGUACUCGUUCUGGAGGUUCAAAUAAAAGUACUCUCUGAAUAACUCCACAGUGGGUUUCUCUUGAAGGUAGACUUCGCAGAACACUUGGAAAAUGCAUAUGUUGGACACGGAAUUGGGUCCGAUGUCUUGAGGAUGGAGGUCGAAAAAGUGCAGAACGUCCCUGAAGAACUUAGAGCCGGGCGGCGAAAAGCCCCGGUUCAUAUGAUCAGUGAAGACAAUGACUUCCCCUUCUUUGGGCUGAGGUUUCUCUUCUGUCGGUUUAGGGGCACGGUAAGACAUGACAUACUUCUUUGGCAAAUAACCAGUUUUCACAAAGUCUUCAAGUGUAUUAUCCGUGACGAUGGAGCGAACCCAGUUACAGGAAGUGGUUGUUUUGGGCGGCAUUGUGAAGAAGGAAGCCUAAAAGGAAAAAGAACAAUGUUUGCUGGUUCAAAUUAAGCCGGACGAAAAGUAUUACAACACUUAUUCAAUGGCGGCUUAAAAAGGGGCCUAAUGGUGUAUGACUAAUUAUAAUAGGUUAUCUAAGCCGCCAUGAGCAGUUUGGUGUUUAUCAAAAGAGAAAUCUGUUGAGCGUUGCAAUUAACUACAACCGAUGGUAUGAGCUGCCUUGACUAGGUGGAUCUAUCAAGGUGCAGUUUUUGCUAAGUACAGUACAAACAGGUUUCACAGAUUGCAAUUAUUAUUUUGGAUCAAUGGCAGUUCAGAAAAAGGAAAUAAUUCAAGACCUAAAACCAGCACAGGGGAGUUCAUAAGCUCUAAUGAGAUCUCUUUCCAAGGAAAGGGGGUCCGCUAGUAUUGAAGGCGAAGGCAAAACAACUACCGCAUAAGUUCUAUAGCAUUUCUAGAUCAAAAGGUGCUACGGUGGAGGAACUAAGAAGGAACUACGAAGAACAUGAAGAAUAGUUGAAACCCUAAUGCGAUCUGAAGCGUUGGGGGAGGAGCACUUACAGAUGCAGAUUAGCUGCGGAGGAGCUCCACCGUUGUCUGGUUCGAUCAGGGUGAUGCAGCGGCCAAGGACGAGGAUGAUGGUGUGCUUCACGGCGGCGGCGGAGCUCGGGUAGCAGAGAGUCACAAGAGGAGGAAGAUGAUGGAAAGAGGGGAGAAUGGAAAGAGGCCAGUCGUGGCUAUUUAUAAGGAGAAAGCCAAUAAGUGGGCGCGAAAGACGAUGAUGCCAAACCGUGGUUAUCCAGUUGCCCAGGCGCCUCGAUUCUCGGGACGGUUAUUAAGAUAAAGAUCCGUUGAGAUAUGUUGGAUAAUGUUUGAAUUAAUGGCAGGUGAUGUCAUGCGGGUUAUCACAAAUCUAGAAGAAGACGUCAUGGAGGGUUAUGAGCUCUUGCACAAAUGAAGAAGAGAUGAUUUUUCUAAAUAUUGAAGAUUUUCAUGAACCAGUUCAAAUCAAUCUGGGGCCUAAUGUUGGGGAUAUAACUAUUAGGUAUGACCCGCCCAGGAGGGGCCGGGUUAUACCUAUGGCGAUUCAUCAUAUGAAGCCCACGAGGAUAUUUGAAGAUGGCUGUUUGGUUAAGGGCCCAAGGCCCAAAGGCGACCUAAGGCCUGUGAGGGUAAACCACCAUAUAUGUAUGACUUGUAUUGUAAGACAAGAAUAGAUAGUCACCGAGCCGGACACUGAUUAUGAGCCGACCGGGACUCCGUGAGCCGCUAGGCUUUAACCUAUGUAUAUAAAGGGACGGCCCGGCAGCGAUUCAGGACAAGAAACAACAGAUCGAAAGCUAGGUCAAGCGGAUUCGCUCCCUGGUAAUCGAGACAUAAGCAAUACCACCUCAAACUGGAUUAGGCCUUUACCGUCACCACAAGGGUCGAACCAGUAUAAACUCCCGUGUCCUUUGUCCUGUUUAACCCCUUUAAGCUACCUAGUUGCGAUGGCUCCAUGACUAAGUCCUUUUGCCAGGACAUCUACCGUGACCAUUCCACGACAAGCGUGCAUUUUAUUAUAGACUCGGGACGAGUCAAUGUUGUUUUUAGUGUAUGUGUUCUACUGAUUAAAAUCUUGUUAGCACACAUUGCCAACCCUGUCAAACAUUUCUGCGUGACAGAGAGACAGACAAAAACAGAAGUAAGCAAGAAAAUAACACAACAUAUGGGUUACAACAGUAACAACAUACAACAAGCACGAAUGCGCUACGCACUAAACAAAACUACUCGCUCUAGGAUACAUGGUUCUAUCCUCAUAUCGGGGAUGAAGCGACAGACCGACCUACUUGCAUAAACCACUGACUGCCUGACUGAGGUCAUGUAGAAGACUGGCCUUGCUCGGGCUCUCCUGGAGGACAAAGACUGAGCCAAUCUCCAUCUUCAUUGUUCGACACUACUAUGGGUUGGGGCUCUUCUGCUGGAGGUGUGGCUGAAACUGAUCCAAGCAAAUGCAGCUGGUGGAUCCAGUAAAGAUCCUUUUCGAGGGUGACGAUGUUUGGUUUAGGCCACAACACAGGCUGAGAGGGUAGCACUGGUUCAGAUGGCAUUGGGCAAACGACUUGAGAUGCAAAUUUACGAGCCUCAUGAUAAGCUUCCCUGACGACUCGUACCGCAUCCUUGUCCAUGGUUCUAAACUCGGCAAGCAUCUUUGAGAUCAUCAUCCCCUGGGCAGUGAUAUAUUGCACCAGACGAGUGACUGCGGGGUCACCUCCUUGGAUAGCGGGAGAAGGCUGAAUUCCUGCUUCUGCCACAAUGGGGAAAAGGCAAAACUCCCACCUUGUUGCCACUUGCGGAAACUUGGUUCGGAGGUAUAGGAUAGCCUCCACAGCAACAUCCUGAAUGGAUAAAUCAGUGGUAGACACGGCUCUACCCUGAAAAACCAAAGGCUACCCAUCUACUGUGGGACCUGGGUUGAUGUGCACUCUUGCAUCAUAGCGAUGAAGGUGAGGGACGGGUGUAGAUUGGAACACCAUGUAAUCGGGGCUAGCAUUACAGCCAAAGGCUUUGGUGAGCAUCUCGGCAAGAAGGGGUGGAAAGUCAGUAUGGUUGAUGGCACAGGUGCGGGUGUAAAACUUGGGAGCUUUGAAGGUGCUAGUCAUGGUUGGAGUGUUGCUAGCUAGGCUUCUCUGCAGGGACAUAGCUGACUGAGGGGCGAGUGAUAUGGCUAGCGGAAAGGGGAUUUAUAGGCAGUUAUGCGGGACAUGCCCGCAUGGUGUGGCCCCUUUCCCUUAAUGGUGAAUGGUAAGUGGUGCGGCCAACCAGAAAGGAUAGGGUUGCUAUUCGUUCCACGGAUAACUAGGCGGGGACAACGGGGUGAGGACGUGUUGGUCCCGACUACGCCACCUGUUGAUUAACAGUGUCCAUGCCAGAUGCCAGGGAUGGGUCAAAUCCCUUAGGGUCAUUACGGGUUGAUGGUAGCGGUUAUCUAAUGCUAGGAUAACCUAUGCCAGCCUGGCUGCUCUGAUACCAUCUCUUGUGGCACCCCAAUUUGCUUGGAGCAGGGGGCCCUCGCACGUCAGCCCAGGAUAACACAUGAUGCAUGACAGGUCCAUGAUACAACAUUCCAGGUACAAGAGUAUUAAUCAAAUACAUGUGUAUAAGAUUACAUCAUUGAUGAAUACAAUCUUCUGGCAUAACCCAACGACUAUUUACAUGGCAGCGGAAGUCUAUAUAAAUGGCGGCGGAAGUCUUGGUUUGGUAGCAUAAUACUCUGGCCGGGCUCCAUAACUCAUAGGACUGGCAAGAUUACAACCUAGCACGACGGAACAAGCGAAUAAUCUGGGCACGACCUACAAAACUGGCAUGACACGCCAGGUCCGUACAUUGAAUGUACUUGCAAGACAACCAAAUACAUAGCAUCCAAACGAACAGAUGACAAACCAAGAACCAAGCAUAUGCAACAAUCUACUUUAGCACAACUUAUAACAUGGCAUGCUAUUAACUAGAAUCAUAAAUCAAACUAAGCAUGAACAACAUCAUAGCAUCUACUAGCAUGCCAUAUCAAACUUACUUUAACAUAGCAACAACAAAGCAUAGCAUAUCAAAACAUGGCAUGGCAUUAAGAAACUAUGCUGAAAAUAAACUACCAGUUACCUCCCGUGAAGAGAUAUAGCAUUAACCUCAUGCAACAAUCACUUACUCUGCCACGGCUCCUCGGAGCAAACUUAUGGCUUACAGAGACCUCAUCUCAUGAUCAUAUCAACACAUCAUCUUGACUUCUCACGAUUAUCUCAUAGUUUCCAGUCACCACAUUAUUUAUCACAUCUUAGUUAUCACCUUAGUUAUUAACAUGUUUAUCCUCCAUUUCGACCAAGACCCGAUAGUGUGACCUACUACGAACUGUGCCCAUGACCGAGGACGCGACUAUCGAUAGAUUUAAC
rnacentral:lncRNA from 1 species